AUGUGGAAAUACAAGUUUCUAACAUUACAAAUGUGAGAAUAGCAUCAAAGUGUGAGAAAAACUAUCACACUUAGAUAUUAUUCUAACACUUUGGGAAACAAAAUAGGCUUUAUUGGUAGUUUGUGUCUGCACUUGCUGUAAGUAGAAUAGAUACUAUUAGUUUUCCAAAGUUAUGGUAGGAACACAUAAUACAAAAGUUUUGUUAAAGCAAACAUUUAUUUUUAAAUUUAUUUAUUAUUAUUAUUUUGAGACAGAGUCUCUCUCUGUAGCGCAGGCUGGAGUGUGGUGGCAUAAUCAUGGCUCACUGCAGCCUCCACCUCCUGUGUUCAAGUGUUUCUCAUGCCUCAGCCUCCCAGGUAGUUGGGACUGCAGGCACGUACCACCACGCUUGGCUAAUUUUUAUGGAUUUUUUUUUUUUUUUUUUUUUUUUUAGUAAGAGAUGGGGUUUCACCAUGUUGGCUAGGCUGGUUUUGAACUCCUGGCCUCAAGCGAUCUGCCUGCCUUAGCCUCCCAGAGUGCUGGGAUUACAGGCAUGAGCCACUGCUAUUUUUUUGCUUGAAAUCUCUCAGGACAGUGGUAUGUUGGACAGGGGUUUGCUUGAAAUCUCUCAGGAUAGUGGCAUGGAAGUGGCCUGGAAGGGUAUUUUUUGGCUUGAAAUCUCUCAGGAUAGUGGUAUAUUGGACAGGGUCUAUGAUUCUAUAGGCGGUAGUAAGUAGAAGAUUGGGGAGUGAGUGAGUGACCCACUGAAGAAGGAAACUGCCCACCCUUCCAAAGGCCCAUAGAACUCUGAAGAGUCUCAAAGUGUGGUCACACCUGUCAGAUGCUUGCUUGUGUCAUGUAUACUGCGCCAAGGACAACCAGAACAAGGUCUAAGGUUUGAACAUUGUGGUGUGCAUUUCAUCAUCUAGAAUGUGAUUUUAUAAGCACAUUUGUGUUUGAAUAAAUCAACAUUGGACCAUUGCAUAGUUUUGUAUUAUUAUUCCUACCCAAGGGGUUGAGAAUAGGAAUUCUUGCAGCAUUUUUAAUGGGUUAAUAGUAAAGGCUAAUACUUAUUGAGUGCCUCCUCUGUUCCUGGCACCCUCCUCAAUGUUUUCCAGGGAUUCUUUGCUCCUGCCUUGCAGAGUUUAUGAGAUGCUGUUAGAACCUCUGGCCUUGUAAAUGAGGCACCGAGGCACAGAACCUUACAUAGGGAGCUGGUAUUCACAGCCCAGCAGCAGUCUGCAGAGCCCAUGCUCUUUGUUGUUACUGGACUAGAUGUUCUUAAGUGGGAAAGGGAAUCUUUUUAAAAUCAAACUGAUGAGGAAACUUUCCUUAGUGUAUGAACACUCUAGAUCAUCAAUAAGCCGGCAGACCAUUCUGCACUUUCAGGCUGGCUUGGCCAAGCCAAUUCUUAGACUCUGAGGGAGGGACAUAAAGUUUCAUUGAGCCAUAAAUGGCUAAAUCAGGGUGCUCAUCCUGAGUCCCAAAUAACAGUUCUGAGGGCAAAGGAAGGAAACCCAGGGCUGUUCACAUAGUAAAUUGUGGUUCCAGAAAUCAGUGACCUACCUGCUUGAGUCUGCAAGAAAUCAGACAUAUAGUAAAAGAAACCAGACAGUGAUUUCAACAAACAAACUUGGCCUCUCCUUUCAGUUGUGUUUUGGCAAGAUGUUCAUGAGCCUUUGCCUUCCUGUGGAAGAAUUUAAGUGUAUUUUGCUACAGUUAAAGAUUUAUUUUCAUUGAGCCUGAUGAUGCAGUAGGAAGAAGGGUAGGCGUUAGAAAAGGUAAGGGGGUGGCAUCAUAGCAAAUGUUCCCAGAUUCCUGGAACUAAAAAGAAACCUUAAGUAUAAUGCCACAGCACCCAGUCAAUUUCAAGAAAGGACUGGUUUAUCUCAGGUUGGAGGAGAACAGAGAAGGUAAGUUCAUGGGGUGAAUGUAGUCGUGGCCCCAGAGUACCUCCAUUCGAGCCAACAAAACUUUUGUCUGUCUGGGCCCUCCUUGGCCAUCCCGACUUGUGACUCACCCUUUCCCCUGGGCUUGCCUGACAUUAGAGUCAGCGGACCUCAUUCUCUGAUCAGCCAUCAGCCCUCAACUCUCCGGGUUUCUUUAUCCUCAUAGAUGCUUCUCCAGAUUCUUUUUACUUUGGGUCAUUUUUGGUUUCGUUUGUUUUGUUUUCAUAAGGUGGUUAUGUAACCUUGCGGAAAGGGUAAAUGUAAUUUAUUUUACUGUUACUCCAAUCAUUACCUUAAGUCUUCUGAGAGUUCUGCCAUGCACAUUGUGACUAUUCCAUGGUUACAAGGCUCAGGAAGAUGCAAAGAAGAAUGGCUUUCUCUUUACACCCCCACAGGGCAUUAGCAGUUACCAUGCAGAACAUUAUAUAUAUUACCUGAUCGAUAUUACUUUAUAUGCAUAAUUUGAAAAGUAUUUCCUUAAAAAACAGGGCAAGUUUUUUUUUUUGGUGGGGGGAUAAUGAACAAAAUGUUUCCCUUUAUACCUUUUCUAGUAUGAUACAUUUUCUAGUAUUUACAGUUUUACUUUUAGAGAGUUACCUUUUGAAGCAUACUUAGUUACUGUUAAACUAUUCUGUUCCCGUAGUUGGAUGAAGCUAAUAAAAAAGCAGGCUAUUUUUAUUAACCGCCAGAUUUCACAACAGUCGAGUGUUCCAUUUUGAUACAAAGAGAUAUAUAGCCGGAUUUAUUCAGCAGUUCUUUAUAUUUAUAAAAGUGUCAACAGUGAAAACAGCAUACAUUUAUACAGGUCAAUCAUAUAAAUGUACCAAGCAAAUGGUGGUACCAAAUUUAUGGGCUGCGUUUCCCCUGCCAGCAGUAUAGUUUAACCUUAUUUAUAGAAUAGUAGGUAAAGUUGGUGUUUGUUCUUUCAGCUGUUUGCAUUUCUGACAGCAGGACUGUUACAGCAGACUUAGAAUCUGUGUAAAAGCUGAAGGAAAUUCUAUUUAUGUUUAUAAUUGCUAAAGAACAAACCCUAAGUUAUUGCACUUCAUUUUUUUACAACUGGAAUUAUAGCAUAUUGAAAUCUACAUUUUCAUUAUUUAUCUUUUGACCUUACUUAUUAAAGUAUCUUGUGAUUACUAUAAAAAUAAUAUUGAAAAGAAGGAUAAAAGUCUUUUAUCCUUUUAUCCGGAACUGGGAUAUGUAAUGCCUAUAAAAUCGGGUCAAGGGUAAUUAUACUUUACCGUGAAAAAACUUUGUAAACAGCAAGAACAAUCGAGCUGUAAGACACUUUGUUGAAUUGUCUUUGUUUUGUCUUGAUGGAGGUCAUGGUUUAUCAAUCAUUCAAACAUCCGUUAAGAUAAAAAAAAAACCUAAUAAUUUUCCUGUUGACAUGUAUAUAUGCUAGCAUUUAAUGUGGUUAAACUUUGAGGAAAUUAAAACAAAUUGAAUUCAUUUUUCUGGAAUGAUACUGUUUCUGUAAACCCCUAGAUUACAUGCAUUUCAAUGAAUUUCUACUUCCAUUUUAUACCAGGAAUAGAUAGAUUAGUGAGCAAAUUCCUCCUUUUUUAAAAGACUUGAAUGCAAAUCUGAUUUCUAUUUUAAAAAGAGAGAGGGAGGGAGGGAAGGAGAAAGUGAGGGAGGCAAUGGAGAAUGCCCCAAGGGGCAUGAAUUCUACCCAUAAGUUCCAUCUCCACUAGUAAUCAGGGUUACAGCAUCUACCCCCAGUUCCAAUUCAGUGCUGUUUUUUCCAAGUGAAGUUUUUCCUAUUUGCCAAGUAUGAAAUUUUACCAAAAAAAGGAGAAAUGACUUGCUUAGAGUUACACAUCCGUUUGGUGGCAGAACUGGAGUCCAGUUUCAUUUUUCUCACUCCUGCCCUACUCCUUCCCCAGCCCUGCCCACGUUGGAAUUUCUGCUCAGUAUGUUUUUCCACUGUACCAAAUUGAGCUCCGAUGUUGGCACAUUGCCUUUCAUUUCAUAUUAAAUGAGUGAAUACAUUAAAAGUGCUUAAAGCACUGUCUAACGGAUAGUCAGUAGUGUAGCACAUGUUCUAUUAAUAACAUUAUUACUUCUAUAGCAUGAGUAACUAGAUCCCAGUUCCUCCAGUUUUCCAGUGGAUGGCCAAAGUCCCCUAUAAUUUCCCUCAGUCUUUCCCCAGGAAGUCCUCAGUCCCCACUCACCCCAACCCAGGAGUAGCUCCAAAGAGCCUGCAGCUGUGUCCUCUAGAGAAAUGCUGGAGUCACCUUGCUCCAGCAAAUGCUGCUGAAAUCUGCUAGAAGUCUCUGAUGAAAGAGUCUAGAUUUAUUUUCUACAGACAAUUCAAAACUUUUAAAACAUGGAUUUAUUUAUUAACAGAUAAAUACACAAAGAGUGAAAGCAUUUUGCUGAAUCACAAGUGGGAUGAGGCCACCUAGAGAGUUAGUGACAUAGAUCCUGGUAAAAGCACAUGGUCAGGAAUGUUAGUGACCAUCAAGUUUACACCCAGUGUUCAAAAGUGGUGUGACCUGGUUGGCCAACCAUAGCACGCUAAUCCUUCCCACUCUUGAGUGACUUGGGUUUUGCCUCACUGGAUAUUACAGAGGGCUGAGUAGUAGGUGCAUCGUCUGAACUGUACACGUGUACUGAAGUUAUUUAUAUGCAUAUAAUAUUGGUUAGACUUAUAUUUGGAGUCAGGAGACCUGGGCUUCACCACUAUUGAUGAAUUGUUUUUAAAACUUGGCUGGGUCUCAGUGAUACCAGGAGUAAUUGUGAAGAUAGAUGCUCACCUUCUCUUCUUUAUUUCUUCUUGAAGCCCUAUGUUUUUUAAAUGUGAUUCCCAUUUUAUUAUGAACAUUUUGAAAUGUGCAGAAAAGUUGAAAGAACUGUUUAGGGAACACCCAUUCUAGAGUGGAUUUUAAUAGUAGUAAUGCUACCAACAACUACCAUGUACCAAGUACUUCUGCUCCAAGUACUGUGCUAAAUCAUUUACCUGUGUUUUUCUCAUUUAAUCCUUUAAGUGACCUUAUAUCUAGAUAUACUUAUCUCCAUUUUAUGGAGGAGGAAAUUAAGCCCCAAAUAUAUUAAUUACUUACUCAAUACUUUAGCUAUCAAAUGGCGAAACACAGUUUGAACUCAUAUCUAUAAAUUCUGAAUUCUAAGCAGACCUUCCUGCCAAAACAUCUCACACUGCGAAAGGCAGUGCGUCCACAAAGCAUUCACUUGGUUCUUCCAUUUUCAUAGAAUCAAAACCUAUAAAGCCCACCAUAAAAUAUCAUCUUUUCAGAUAUUUUCUUUCCUGAGCCUUUGUUUUUUUCCACAUGUGAAAUGAGAGGGUUGUGGAAGAUUUUGAAGUCUUUGGCUCUGAGAUCAUGUAGAGCCAACUCCCAGCAUCAGAAAUCAGAUGUGUACAUUUAUCUCAUCCCUUCCAAAACAAAUAUGAGUUGUGUCCAUUUUAUAGAUGAAAUAACCAGUAAAUUAUUAUGCUAAUAUUAUAACUAAUAUAUUAUUUCUUUUCAGAGCAAUGGAAAGAUAUUCAUUAGGCACUCAUGACCCAAGAGGUGUCUAAUGAUACUGUCAUCUCUCCUUCUCUCCAUUCCCUUUCUGCUUUCUUCCUGUUUUUCUUCUUCCUUUUUGAUAAGGAAAGGAGACACUAUCAGGGUGCAGCCAUGCAGAGCAGUUUGGAGUUUAUAAGCAGUAAUCUUAUACACCUUUCAUUUCUUGUUGUUUGUAAACACUCUGAGGAAAUGGAAUACAUUGGAAACCCUGUUUACUGAAUGUGUGUUGGUCUUUUUGAUUAAGAAAGGUGGGGGAAAGUGGGGAUCUGCCUCCUUGUUCCUCUUUUCCCAGUUCUGCAUCUCUUUCAGUUGCAGGCAGAUCUCAAGAUCAGAAGAUUAAGACAGGAAACCAGGGAGAUGGAAGCAUUGUCCUUCUCUUUUUAAAUUCCUUGUGAAGCCCUGGUAGGGUUAGCAGAGUGCCCGGAAUUUCUGAUCCUUUGACUGAACUGUCAUUCAUUAGAACCCAAGCUUUAAACUCUACCAUUUAAAACAGUAUCACAUUUUUUAUUGCAAAUUAUACAUAACAUAAAAUUUACCAUUUAAAAAGGUACCAGGCAUUGGCUUUAAGUACAUUCACAGUGUGCAACCAUCACCACUAUCUAGUUCCAGAACCUUUUCAUCCCCCCGAGCAGAAACCCUGUACCCAUUAAGCGAUCAUCCCCCAUAACCUCCUCUCCUUAGUCCCUGGAAACCACUAAUCUACCUUCUGUCUCUGUAUAUUUGCCUUUUCUAGAUAUUCCGUAUAAAUGGAAUCAUUACAAUAUGUGGCCUGUUAUGUCUGGCUUCUUUCACUUAACACAAUGUUUUCAAGAAAACAUUGCCAUUUUAAAUCGCCAGGUAUUUUACUAUUUCUUUUUUUUAUCCCUCUCGAAUCACAAAUGGCACCCAAUUUUUUAGCCUUUUGAAAUACCUUCUGUAACAUAUAGAGAAGGAAAAUAUCUAGAAUUGGGGAAGAUAUCUAGAAAUAGGAGAUCAAAUGAAGAGUAGACAUAUUUCCAUAAUGACUUGUAAAACUGCCAAAUGCAGAGUUUGAUUUUCUGCCCAGCUGGAAAGUCAUUUAGUGUUAACGAGACAUGUGAAUUCUUAAAUUAUUCAUUUUUAAAAAUUAUUUUCAGCUAUUUUAAUUCAUGACACUAGUUAUUAUUUUGUAAAGGGUUAAGGGCACUCGUAGAAGGGAGUGGGCCCAAGGCAGGCACGUGGUGCCACGGCCAGUGUCUCUUCUUGGGUCCCAUGUAAAUGAGCGUGCAGGACCAGGUUGGUUGCUCUCAUUCCUGGGGCCAUCGUGUGCUGAUUGACUUUGCUUAGCACUUGACUCUUGUCUCAGGAUGCAUUGCCAAUAUUUGGUUGUGUUCUGAGACACUAGAUCCUUUGUGAUCUGCUUUUACUCCCCUGGAGGAAAUUCAGGAGUUAUUUCCCCUUCCCUGACAGAUAUCACAGCAUUCAUAUGUGUCCCUGGCAGUUGGAACCAGAGAAAGAACAUUUCAACCCUUCCGUAAAGCUGGAAAAACCAUGGGAAUAUAUGUGACAACAUCGAUUGCACACCCCAGGAUUUCUCUCUCCCCGUAUCCCUGAGUUAUCUAACGUAAUCAACAGCGUCAUAGGUCUGUGCUCAUGGUAUCUGUAAUUAUAUUCAUUUGUGUGGAUGCCCAGGGAAUUCCAGUGACUGGCCCUGUAAGUGGUUAACUGCAAACAGGAGCCUGCUGGAAUUACAGCAUCAUUUGAGAUCCUGCACAUUUCAUGUGACUGAUUUUAAGUUUAUAUACUGUUUAGAUUUUUUUUUUCUUUCUGUAUUUGCAGUUUAAAAAAUAAAGGUAAGCUAAUAAUUCUCCGGUCAAUUUGCUGUUUUUUUCUAGUGCUUUAAAAGUAUACCCUUGCAGAAACACACUCACACACAGACACACACACACACACACACGUGUGCAUACACACACACAGCAAUUAUGAUAUAGGGAAAAUAUACAAAUCAUUCCAACUUAAGUAGAAAUGAUAAAUAAGCUGACUCUUGAAAUUAUGUUUCAGUGUGAAACCAAAAGCAUUUUCCCUCCCUUUCUCCUUCCCUUGUUUUUUUCCUCCAGAUUUAAAAUCCUAUGGGUAAGCCUCUUCUACUGGACUGCAUAAUUAGGUAGAUUAAUUAGCACCUGUCCUAUAGCUGUAAGAAGCUGAUGCAUACAGUGUGGCCUCAUAGUCUAUGCCAGACCACUUAAAAAGAAACUGUGGGGGUCCGGUGGCUGGCCUUUAGACAUUUUCAUAAAUUAAAAAUAUUGAGAGCCAGCCCAGGUACUGCACCCUCACCGGAGAACUGGACGGGUGAAUGGAGUUGUGCUGGGUGAUCUGUCUGGAUGGCCCGUGUUAAUGAUGACAAAUGAGCUCAAGGACAACUAUUGAAAAAUAUUGGAAGCCUGAGUUCUGCUGUUGAAAUGUUCUGUCAAAUUAAAGAAAAUCAACUUAAAUGCCAGCAGCACAAAUCUUCUAGAAGGCAACUGAAAGGAAACUCCAGAAUCGUCAGACAUGAUGCAUACUUGGUGUUGAUUGCCAUUCAUUUCGUUUGUGCAUCAUGUUGUAAGAAAACAAAGCUUUGGGUAGAGGGGAUGUGACUGCCCAUUGCUUUGGAGAUCUGUUUGCCAGACAUUUCAAGUCAGAGAUAUAACGUACAGUUUGAACAAAGAGCCGAAAAGGUGUGAACAUCACAUGUGGACCUUUUUUUGUGGCUCCGUUUCCUAACCUCACACAGAUUCCAUCUCUUGAAUCCCACCAGUUUAAAUGCUGUGUUUAAUUUGUUUAAUAGUCUGCAUGAGGAAGAUUUAAUAUUCCUUGCAUGUCAUUCUCCAAAGCAAAUUGGUAAUAGUAUUAUUAAACUUACUCCAUGAUGAGACAUAAAUUGAGUCCUUUCCACUCAGAGAAAAACUGCCAAGCAUUGUUUAACACACACUCAAGGUCAGGGGGCACAGUCAGAAGUACACGUGGAAGCAGUUUGAAGACUGUGACACACUGCCUUUCAGAGAAGGUCCCCUGCUGGAUCUUUCCUGGGUAGGUGUCUAAUAUAGUAAUAUAUUUAUAAUUGGAUUUUAAUUGCAAUCUGAUUUUAGUGUGUGUGUGUUUCAGUUUGCUGCUACCAGAAGGAUGAGGCUCCAAAUGAAAUUAUACAAUACCUCUCCCAGGGCAAUUUGUUCUCCGCCAAAAAUAUAUUGGAAGAAUAAAAUGCAUGCAGUGUUGUUUGCCUUAGUUUAUUGACUUAACAACCUAAGUUGCUUUCCUCUUUGGUGUUUUAUCUUGCUUUGUGGUGCACUCCAGCGGCAUGGAAUGGUGGAGAGAGCGUGGGCUGAUCGCAGGCUCAUGGAGUUCCAAUAGGGAGGUCCUGUGUAAGUUACUUAAACACUUUAAAUUUCCAUUUUCUCUUCUGUAAAAUGGAGAUAGUGAUAUUUAUCAGGUGUAUGUGGGAGAGUGUUUUGAUGUUCAAACAAGAUAAGACGUGAAUAUUCUAUCUGGCAUCUACAAUAGGAGGUGAAAAAACCAGUAGCUUGUUAAUUACAACUCUUUGAAAAUAGAUAGUUUCCUUAUUUCAUACUCUUCACUGUCCCUAUACAGUAGUCAUUUUUUAAAAAGCAAGGAGGGGGAAUGAAGUGAUGUUGGUCAAAGGGUAUAGAAUUUUAGUUAGGAUGAAUAAGUUCUGGAUGUCAUACAAUGAAGUGACUAUAGUAAAUAAUUUAUUAUAAACUUGAAAAUUGCUAAGACAGUAGAUUUUAAAUGUUCUCAGUACAAAAAAAGGUGUGUAAGUUGAUGGAUAUGUUGAUUAGCUGGAUUUAAUCAUUUCACCAUGUGUACAUAUAUCAAAAUAUCAGGUUGUAUACACAUUGUGCAUAUAUUAUAAACACAUACAAUUUUUGUGUGUCAGUUAGGCUGUAAUAAAGCUGGAGGGGAAAAGACAUCUGAGAGCCUUUGAUGAUUUUAGGGUGUGGAGACUCUAUGUCUGGCUGUCAACUGGAGGGCUGCUUAUGUUAGCCAAGCCUGGUUCCUUGUAGCCCCAGAGGAGGAGCUUUUUAAAGAAAAGUGACCAGAAUUCUUCCCAUUGCUCCUUACACAGCUGCGAAACUAUAAUUUAAUGUAAUACAAGAUUUCAAAAAGAUCACAACAUUAAUACUUAUGUCAAUUGGUAUCAUAGCACAGCUUCCCAACAUGAAAUUUUGCUUUUCUGGAUCCUAUGCCACCAUUCCUGUGGCAAUACAAUCCUGCUCACAGGAAAUGUGAUGGUUUUUCACUACCUUUUAGCCAAUUGAUUUUUUAAGAAUGUGCUAAUGGAACCGAUUUUAUUCAAAUCAAAAGCAUUUGAUAUUAGGGCUUUGGUGGAAAAUAGGACUUUUAAGUGUAUUCCUGUUGACCCUUCUGAUUUGGAACUGGGAGGAGAAAAGAGGAAGGACAGAACAAGAAAAUUCUUGCUAAACAGAGGAAUCAGAAGCAUUGUCAAUUUUUAAAAAGAAUUAGUUCAUAGGGAAAUAAUUGAAAUGGUAUAAUAAAGUUACUUUUGUAAUCCAAUUUUUGCAAAAAGGAAUAUUUGGGAUCAAAUAAUAACAUAUUCAUUGUGAUCUAACGAACAAUCUGAUAUACUGUAUAACUGAAAUAAGCAUGAAUUCCACGAAAUUUGUUGGCUCUUUGUGCCCACUUGUUUCACACCACUGUGCUCUUUUUGUCGGGUUAGUGGAAUAGACAUAUUUUGUAAUCUAAUAGUAUCAAUAAAGAAAUUAACUGCUCUUGAUAGCAACAGCCCCCAAGUUUAUAAUUUGAUAACACCUUUCUACCUGAGAUAACAAGGAUAAUACCCAAACACCAUAAGAUUCCAUAAACAUGUGUAGGGCAUUCAGUGUCACGUUUUUUAGUAUCCUUAUCCCUUUUGCCCUCACAAGAUGCACUUUUUACAAUAAUACGAUAGUUGGCUUUUGGUAUGAAUACUAGUGUUAAUAGAUGUAAAAUAUGACAUUUAGUGGACCAAAAAGGUACAGUUUUAUAUUUUAUAGGCAAUUUAUUUUCAUCACCACCAACAUUGCAAUCACAGAAAAGGUUGAUGAUGAACAUUUUUAAAUUUGAAAAAAUCCAAUUGAUCCCCUCCCUUUCCAAACACACACUUUUUCUUUUGCGUUUUUGCAGGGGUGGAAUAAGAAUGGGUUGUAUAAGGAAAGAUCAUGUUAAUGCCUGCCAUGGAUUAGAUGCUGGAAAUAAGACCCAAAGAUUAUAAUGGAAUAAAAAGGGGAUUACAGUGAUAGAGUCAUGUGAGGUCAGAGUGGAAGGUUAGCAAUCAGCUAGUGAAGUGUGAUCUUCUUAUCAGAUGGAGAAACUGAGGCUCAGAGAGGGGUUCAGUCUUUGAGUACUCAGAGUUACAAGGCUCCUUAGUAACAGAGCCUGGGUUUUAAAGUCUUAUUGAUAGAGGUUUUAUUGCUCCCAGGCAGGAUUUGAAAAGCAAAGGAAUUGAGGAAAAGUUAUGCUGGGAAAAAAAUAAAACAAGAUUAAAAAAUAGUUAAAUAAAUAUAGACAAGGCAUUGCUUUUAAAGAAUGACCUACAUCGGAAACUAAAGGGUUAUUCUUCUCUUGGGAUUCUCUGGCUAGAAAGCCAUGUUCCAGUGCGUCCCUCUUGCUGUUGGUCUCCUGAGCUUCCUGAUGAGAAGCAACACUUGUGAGACUCCACACUCUGCUCUCAGAGGGGCAGAGAGGGUGCUGAAUCGGCAUCAAACGCUUCAGGAGCCUCCCCCGCUGCCUCCAACUGCAUCCAUUUUGUUCCUGCCUGGAGGUAGACCGCAGUCGGGAUCCAAAUAUAUAGGAAACAAAACCUACCAGCAUGAAUUAUUAUAAGCUGUACCCACUAGAAUAUAAAAAUAGUAUUUUCCUGAUGUUUGCAUUAUCCCUGAGCCCCGAUAAGGGAAUUGCUUAAAGGAAAAGCAGCCAACACCUAAAUGGCAGGGGUGCCAGGCUGCAUAAUGGGCUAAGAGGUAGGAGGCUGACCUCAGGAAGCAGCAAGGGAAAUCUGCUUUGAAGGGAAUCAGCAGAGCUGGCAUUGUGCUAGGUGCUGGCGGGUAAGGAACCUUCUCACAGGCCUCCAGUGGCUGUUCGCAUGUAUGUUUUGAAGUCUGAGGCCUGAUAAACAUUUUAUUUAGUAGGAUAAGCGAGACUUCGAGGAUUUUGCAGCAGGCUGAAGUGAAUUGCUCCGGUGUUCUCACCAGCAUCCUACCCAGAGGUGUCAAGUACCUGGAAUGGUUGGCCCCAGCAUGUAGGAAGUAGACAGAAGGGUCAUGCCCUUCCCUCUUAUUUCCCAGGUAUGGACAUGGAGGUUAGGGAGACAUUUCAGGUCAGAGGCCGGCUGGGAAAUCUGGCUUAGGCCUCUGCUGGAGCUGUGCUUCUCAAACUUGCCUGCAUGUUAGAAUCUCCUGGAAGACGGGGAAGGGACAGUUAAAAAAUCCCAGUGCCCAUGCCACACCCCAGACCAAUUAUAUUAGAAUCUCCAAAGGGCUGUGGAGCCCAAGCAUCAACAUUUUUUAAGCCUACCUCGGUGUUUCCAGUGUGCAUCUAGAACCAGUGGGUGAGAACAUUCCCAAUUUGCAGAUAGUUUUAUAUGAAGAAUUUUUUGAGGAUUGUUUGUUUUGGGACACGUGAAACUCCUCAGGGGCUCUUCAUGUGCCCCCUAAUAUGGAUUAGACACCUGGUUUAGCCCAGGGCAGGGAACACAUCCUGCCCUUACAUUAUCUUGGGCAGUGUAUUUGCAAGCUUUAGCUGCUCAGUUUUGAUAUAUGUUGGUCUGUGAGUGAAUGAACGAAGCCGUUUCCCAUCCCCUUCCCUGCUCCCCCCUCGCCUCAUUGGCAGUUAACUCAGCCUCUGGUGUAUUAAGAAAAAUCCUCACUGCUUAUGUAGGGUGCACCCCCUACCCACCGCCCUGAGAACAGGGCAGAGCUGAGACAGAAGAGUGAGUGACACCCCAGGAAAGCAGCUUCAUCAUGAGUCGAUUAAAACCCCAGCCUCCUGACCUCCAAUCAUAAGUUCCUGGCCCUGGGAAAUAGCUCUCUAAUGGGCUCUGGGCGAUAAAGCAACAAGGUUGAAAUUGAGGUUACAUUAAAGCCUAAUUUUCUUAUGAGGAAAAAUGUACAAAUGAAUAUGAAAGUGAUGUACCUUUGUAAUCUAGCUUCUUGCCUGUGCCCAAACAUCCUUAGCCUUUUGUCUCAAUUUUCUCAGUACAGCAUGUGCCUGAAGCUGCCCGAAUAUAUUUUACUCAGUAAUGCACAGGCAAGAAGCCUUAUCUGGGGUGUGGGCAGAGAGGAUGGCGUAGCUUACAUUUAGAGCAAAUCAGGACAAAUGGAGCCUGGUACAGAUGUGGACGUUAGCAUGCUAGCCACACACUUGGCACAGGCAAUUUCUGGAUACCAGAGAGGGAUUCCAGACACCUGUCUUAAAAAGAUCCACCCCUUACUAGCUGUGUAAGCUUAGGGAAAAAAAAAUUACUGAUUCUCUUAGCCUCAAUUUUUUCAUCUGAAAAAAAGUGAUAUCCUCCGUAGGGUAUUUAUGAGAUCAUAUCUGAGAAAGGGCUUUAAACGUUAUACAGCCAUAUAUAAAAUGUAAAUUACGGCUUUACUAGACCCAGUUCUGCCAUGAAGUCAGUGUAACCUCAGGCAAGUCACUUCACUGCCCUGAGUCUUCUUUUCCUCAUUUUUAAAAUUGAGAAUUUGGAGGAGACACUUUAAAAUAUAUUCCAGCUGCAUAGGUCUUGUGUCUGGAUUCUUAGAAAAGACCGUUGGUGUGCAGUUUUCCAAAACUGCCCCUUUUCAAAUGCUUCCCUUAGUUCUCAGUCUUCUCCACAAUAGAAGAGAGCCCUCUCUGUUAUCCAUUGUGAGAUUUUAGAAAUAGAACGGGGAGUGAAGAAAUAAUGUGGAAUAAUGUCUUCCCGAACUUUUCAGCUCAAACAGCAGAGCCUGGCUUAAGAAAGAAAGAAGUUCUCUCAAUGUAAAGAACUGCUGAGAUGCCAUCCGGAAAUGCUGUUUACUCUCCUGCAAAGAGCAGAGAGGUGAUCCAGAAAUACCAAGUGAAUAUUUUUCCUCUUACAUACAGUUCUUAUUUCCCUGGUGUUUCUAAGCAGUAUUAGCCUUUAUCCUUAAGCAACCCAUCUUAUAUUGUCCAGGAUUUCAUAUACACUAGAUGACAUUAUUCUACUAUCACUUUUAAUGCUGCAGUAAUUUUCAUAACCUGCAGUAUGUAUAUGGAUCCUUAUUAUAACUUCUACUUGGGCCCUUUUUUUUUUUUAUAGGAAGUCAUUUUUUUUUUUUCUUUUGGCAGUUACAUUGCUAAGGGCUUUGAGGAUUUCCUUAAUGCCAUCACUGGAUGGGUGUGUGUUCUGAAUUGUCAUUUUCUGCUUUUGUGCAGUUUCUCCUGUUCCUAUGAGCUUCGUUACCUGCUCAUGAAGAAUAUGAGUCUUUGGAAGUCUGGAUUGCAGGCAGCUCCAGCGAUGCCCAGAGUCUUGUUAGGAGGGCAUUUCUUCUUGCCCUCGCCAUGACAGAUUUGAGAUCCUGGUGCAGACUGAAGCUGAAACGAAUUGCUGAGAUGAGACCCCAAAGACAAAGAGACGUGCAAGUAGCUAAGGGUUUCAAGGGGCAGUUUAAUCAUUGCUGACUUCAGGCUUCCUGCUUUGCAGAAAUUCUUUCUGUAGCAGCAAAAGCUUCUUUUUAAAGAAGUUGUUAGAGCUUGAGUUAGAUAUGGUGGUGGGCUACAAAAGUCAUUUGAUGAUAUUUAGUAAUUCCCUUAAGGAAAGAUACUUGGAUCUCUUCGGAGACAUAUGCAUCCCUCCACUGCAGACAGCCACCCAGUUCCACUUCCUGCUAGCUCUGUGCCGUUGAGCAAGACAGUGACCUCUCUGAGCCUUAAUGUCCUCAUCUGUAAAAUAGUAUUGCUAUAACUUAGUCUGCGUUAUGGAGUGGUGGUAAGGAUCAGAAGUAAGGCUUAAUUGGCUGGGCAUGGUGGCCCACGUCUGUAACCCCAGCACUUUGGGAGGCUGAGGCGGGUGGUUCACCUGAGGUCAGGAGUUUGAGACCAGCCUGGCCAACAUGGUGAAACCCCGUCUCUACCAAAAAUACAAAAAAAUUAGCCGGGUGUGGUGGCAGGCGCCUGUAAUCCCAGCUACUGGGGAAGCUGAGACAGGAGAAUCGCUUGAACCUGGGAGGCGGAGGUUGCAGUGAGCCGAGAUCACACCACUGCACUCCAUCCUGGGAGACAAAGCGAGACUCGAUCUCAAAAAAAAAAUAAUAAAAAAAGAAAUAAGGCUUGAUUUUUAACCUCAAUAAAUUUUAGUUGUUUUUGUUAAUUUCUCCGUAGUAUAUAGUGGAAUCUAAGGCUUUGAUUCAUGUUUAAAAAUAUGUGUCCUUUGAAGUAGGGUAUGUUUUUUUUUUUUUUUUUUUGAGACAGAGUCUUGCUCUAUCACUCAGGUUGGAGUGCAGUGGUGCAAUCUGGGCUCACUGCAAGCUCCGCCUCCCGGGUUAACGCCGUUCUCCUGCCUCAGCCUCCCGAGUAGCUGGGACUACAGGUACCUGCCACCACACCUGGCUAAUUUUUUUUGCAUUUUUAGUAGAGACGGGGUUUCAUCGUGUUAGCCAGGGUGGUCUCGAUCUCCUGAAGUUGUGAUCCGCCCGCCUCGGCCUCCCAAAGUGCUGGGAUUACAGGCGUGAGCCACCGUGCCCAGCCAGGUAUGUUUUUUUAAAAUUCCUCCUUUGGAACAAUGGUCUUCAGCUCUGCUUGCAUAUCAGACCUUUGGAACAAUGGUCUUCAGCUCUGCUUGCAUAUCAGAUUCUGAUUUGAUUGGUCUGGGUUGAAGCAUAAGGAUUAGUAUUUUAAUUUCAUUGAGGUGUGAUUUAAGCCAGUAAAGGAUGCAAAUCUUAAGUAUAUGGCCUAAUAAAUUUUUACAUAGAAAUACAUCUGUCUAGCCACCACCCAUAUCAAAAUAUAGGACAUGUGGCAUCUGUAUUUACUCUCCAGAUGAUUCUAAUGGGCAGCCAGGGCUGAGAACCACAGCCCAAGCAGACGGUCAUCCACAUUAGAUCUGACACUGGCUUUUCUUUUGUCUUCAAAACGUACUGUGUGUUUUUAUCCCUGUGCACUCAUGUUCUCCUUUACCAUCAUCUCUGUUUCACAAAACUCCUCCCCGCCUCACCUGUUGCCACUAGCAUUUGCACACUUCUCUUUUGUUGCCCUCAACCCCUUGUACUGUACAGUGAGUGGGUGGGCAUCUGCCUCCUCCACAGAUCUAUGAGCUUCUCCAGCACAAAGACUGGAUUUCACUGGAAUUUCAUGUCCCCAGGGAUGCCACACUAAGCAUGCAUAAAAUAAAUGAGUCAACUCUGGUAUACUCCAGCUGUCCUGCUGCCAUUUGCCUCAUCCACAAGAAUAACUGUGGUUGGGGACAGGGAAGGAGUAUAGCUAAGUCAGAUUUUUUAUUGUGGCCCUCAAGGCCAACCUGGGGAGCCCUACUGGAGGAAGCCCUGAAGGAUAGUUGCCCCGAUGACCGGUUAUGGUGGCCUGCAAUCCCAGCAUUUUGGGGGGCCAUGACAGGCAGGUGGCUUGAGUACAGGUGUUCCAGACCAGCCUAGGCAACAUGACAAAACCCUGUCUCUGGGGGGAAAAAAUAAAAUGUAUAUAUAUAUAUUUGUGUGUAUAUAUAUAUUUGUGUGUGUGUAUAUAUAUAUAUAUAGUGUGUGUAUAUAUAUAUAUAUAUACAUAUACAAAAAAAAAUUUAAAACCUUAGGCAGGCACGGUGGUACAUGCCUGUGAUCCCAGCUACUCAGGAGGCUGAUGUGGGAGAAUUGCUUGAGCCCAGAAGUGGAGGUUGCAGUGAGCCAAGAUUGCACCACUGUACUCCAGCCUGGGUGACAAAGCGAGACCCUGCCUCAAGAAACGAAACAAACCAAAAAAGCGAAAGUUGCCCCUGAAAAUAUCUCUGGGAAGCGGUCCUCCCUCUGGAUAAGCUGAGUGCUUGUUCCUGCACCUUGGCUCACACGACUGCUCCAUGGCGCCCCCCCCCCCCUUCUGUUAACUGCAUCUUCCCGACUUCAACACCCAGCUCAUGCUGUCAUCUCAUGUUCAUCUUCCAAAAACUCCGACCCUCACGCAUUCCUUUUUUAUUUUCUUUUUGUUUCCUUUUUGCGCUUGAUGUCAGUAUUAUAGGUCGCCCAGUACAUGGUAGUCAGGGCCAUCUUUGUUUCACAUGACAAGAGGAACUCAGCCUUAACACCUGCUCUGUCUGCCUUGGAAAAGAAAUGAAGAAAAUACUCGUUUCAAAAAACAGUUGGGAGUUUUAAAUGUGGAUUUUAUUUCCUUUCUGACUUGUUUUUAUGAAGGAAAAAAAAAAUCAUUCCUCCUCCCUAUUUGGCAGGGGUAGCGUCACCCUUGAGGAGAGUGUCACAGAAGGAAAACGCGAUCCCCCACCAUUGCCGUCCGGCUCCAGGUUCCUGAGCUGCUCUCUCUCACCUCUGGCUGAGACUUUUUUUUCUCUUUCCCCUAGCCAUCUUUCUUAACUCUCGGGGCCCCGUGCCUAAAUGACCUGAUCUGUGAAAUGGAGAUAUAUAGUCCUUUCAUUUUAAGUCCUCUAUACAUACAAAUAAGAGUGAGAAAAUCUGCUGAAACUGAAUUUUUUAAAACCCUCUUCCAAAUCAUGUUUGGUUGUUUUCCUUAAUAACCAGAGAUGCAAAAGAACUCACUCAUUAUGCUGUAGCUUUUCUAUUUCUCACCAUGGAAAAUAAUCCCAGUACAGCUCUUUUGUGCUUUAGUUCACAGGGCCUUUACCGGGCUUUAUCUUACGAGAGCCUCACAAGCGCCCUGUCAAGCCGAGAGACAGGGCAGGCCUGAAGGCUCAGUUGAGGAAUCACCUUCCUUAAGAAAACUUGAAACCCUGACAUUCCCCCACCCCUACCCUCUUUCCUUUCCAAUACUCUCUGUAUAUCUGUAUUAAUGUUCCCACCACACUGUAGGAAUAUCUGUUUGCAUGGCUGUUUCUUCCCCUACACUAUGGGCUCUUUGAGGAUAGAGACCAUAUCUAGCAUUUCUCUGUAACUAAUGCCCAGCACAGUACCUUGGUGUCAAACCGAAUACGCCUUUGUUGAAUAAAUGUAUGAGUCAAUGAAUGAGGUUGCAGAGUUAUCAAGUGGAGGAGGGAUUAGAACCCAGGUAUCUUGAGCCCAAGCAAUUUGAAGGUGUUUAAGCUAAUUCUUUUGUAUGUUUUUCUGGCUGUUUAUGUACUUUUGAAGUCUUUAUCUUUCUGUGUUAAAAUAUGUCUAUCGUUAUUGCAUUUUACAGCAUCAAAAAUUAAGAAUACUUACAUUCUUCUACAAAUUGAUGCUUCAAAAUAGAAAAUUUGGAAUUUCAGAAGCUCCAGUACAGUAACUAAUCUGAAAUUAUUGAUGCAUUUUCUUUCGUCAGGGAAUAACUUUGAAAGAUUCAAAUGAUUUCAAAAUCCAACUUUCUAACGUCUGGGAGAGAAUUCCUCAAACACAUUUAGCAGUCAAAACAAUUCUAUAGAGUAUAAAAGAUGAAGCAUGGCACUUCGAAGUAAAGGUUACAGUUUCUAUAAAUGAGAAAAGGCCGAAUAUUUGCUAGCAAAAUAUUUUUAGCAGGAAAGAAUUUACUUUGGGAGGUACUUAGGCAUGUUAUAUUAAUACUAAUGUACAAGUUCAGCAAUUUGUAGGAGUGGAAAGAAUUGGAUUAAAGUAAAAAGUUCUUAAUAUCUACACAUUAAAAUGGAGAAAAGUCUGUGAAUGUGAACUUAAUCAAAUCAUGGUAGAUAAACAAUUAUAAGAACAGAAUCUUUGAAUGAUUUUUUUUUGGAUUUACUUACUAACAUUAGCAGAAUCUUUGUGCCUUGCAAUCCUGGAGAGUUUUGUUUUAAUCAGAUUUGUUGGCUGAGGCAGUUUAUGUUAAAAAAAAAAAAAAAAGUAACUUUUAACAUCCAGCUGCUUUUCUGAGAAUUACCCAUCUAUGAAAAAAAAUGUAGCACCAUUAACAUUUAUGAGAAACAGACUUAACAUUAUCAUAAAUUAUACAGUAAACUCUCUUGGACUGGGAUUGAAAGGUGUGUGUUUGUCUUUGAAGCUGAUGUAUUUUGACAGCACACCAGGAGGCAGCUCACUCUGAAUAAUGGGCAAGAUGAGAGCCUCAGAGGAAAGAAAUCACUCCCUUAAGUGAGCGUAAACCAGAUAGGGGGUAAAUGAACUUCCCCACCUGGACACAUUGCAAUUUUAGAAGCACUGAUCACACGAGAAGUUAGCGCUAGCAGGGACCUAGGAGCCAUUUAGUUAUAUUUUUUCUAUUUACAAAUGUGGAAUCUGAGGCUCAGAAAAAAGAAAAAAAAAUUCUCUCAGCUUCUUCCAGUAUUUCAGGGGUAGAGCCAGGAACAGAACUCACCCAGCACCCAGUUCACCUCUCUCAGAGCCUGAGGAAAGCUCGUCAAUGUUUUCAGUCUUUGCUUCUUCCUCCGUAAAAUGAGCAUAUCAUUUGAGCUUCAUGCCCUCUCCAAUUUGAAAGUGUCACAUUUCAAUGGCAUUUGUAAUCAUCUGGGUAAGUUCUUUAUUUCACUACCUUGUUGAAUCAGUCACCUCAAAGGAAUGGCCGCUUGGUCCAGGAAUGGGGUAUCCGGUGAUAGGUGAAUAUGUUGUGAGGUGCUUAGGGGAAGAGGAAAUGUGGGGGUCUUUAACUGCUGUUCUCUUAUUUGUAGGGUAGCAAUAGGUUGUACUGUAGGCCAGUGGUAUACAUAGCCAAGCCCUAUACUGUUUUGUCUAAAACCCUAAAAUCCUAAAACUGGGCUGACGGUUGGGCAGUAGGUCUGAUAAUUUGCUCAGGAGUCAUCUCUUGGUUGAGCCUAAUUUACUAAUUUGCAUUCCUAUAUUCACCGUCUUCAUUCCAAUGCCAUCUGUACCACACCUGAAUGAUUACUCCAUUUUCAUAGCUAGUCUCCCUGCUGUCCCAAUUCAUCUUGCCCCUCACUGCUAAAAUGGUUCAUCCUGCGUCAAGAACAGUGGUGUUUUUUGUUUGUUUGUUUGUUUUUUUAAGUGCUGAAGGAUCAACAGUGGGUUCCUAUGGGACACCUUUACAUUGCCUGGUCUACAGUGUUUCACUAAUGGUGGAUCUUUGACACUGAGUCACCUAUCCAAUUCAUCUUGUCCCCUAGACACAGCUCACUUUUUUCUGCCCUACCCACGUAGCUUUCCUCUCUGCCAGUGCGAAACACAGCUCAUGACUCACCUCCUAAAGGAAGCCCUCUGGAGCUGAGCCUCCUCUUGUUCAUUACAUCAUGGCUUUUGGGCCCUUUGGGACCUCCUUGUAGAAUAAUUACUGGAUCAUUUAGUUCUGGUGCCCACAUUGUUGAUCCCCGCUUGGUUCAGAAAAAUUGUGAUGCUGAAAUGGAUCCUUCCUUCUCAGGGCUUUUUGGAGACAGCUUGAGUCCCCCAAACCAUGUGGUACCGUAACUGAGGCAUUUUCCUUCCCAGGGUACUUCUCCGGGAAGGCAGUCUUUUGGAGACUGGUACCUUAUGAGGGAAAAUGAGCCUAUUUCCAAUGCCAUCUCUCUCUAAUAAAGAGAAACCUCACUUCACUCUAAUGCCACAAAAAUGUGCUCUUGGCUUUCCUUGAGGGAGUCUGUUUUGGAAAUUCCAUGGUCAGAAGAAGCAGGGCUGUGGCCGGCAGGCUGUGUGGUGCAGCAUGUCCAGGAUCCAGUGUCCUGUCUUCUUAGUCAGCCAGGCUCCCUUUAAAGUUAGUGGUUUGCUGGGAGACCUCAUGUGGGUUUUCAUUUUAAAUGGUGCUCUUGAAUGUGGCUCCUAUUUACAUUUUUUUUUUUUUGGAAUAUCCAUUACCAAGCCUUCAUGGUGAAGCACCUCCCAGUAAAGGCAGCCAAAUUAAAGGAUGCGAAAGCCAGCUCCCUGGUGGACUCUGGAGAUAUGAAAGAGAGCAGUGUCUUCACUGGACCAGACCCAAGACUCUAAACCCGUGGGUGCUGGAUCCCUGCAGUCCUCUAGGCUUCACUGGGGGUAGAGGAAGCCACAGACUCCUGCCACCAAAUAGUGCCUACUGUACACGCAACAUGUUCUGCUCUAUCUUUCACAUAAAUGUAGUUGCUUCUGGGAUUUAGAAAUAUUUUUUAAAGCACUGCUAAAUAACUAGUCAGCGUUUUAAAUGAAUAGGUUAAAAGCAUAACUCUAAUGAUGAGGGAGUUUACAUAAUAUUUUGAUGUCGUAAAUGGACUCUUAUACCGUCUGGGCCAAGAGCCAACAUACGAAGGCCCUGGGGGUUGUCCUGACCAUGUCUGUGUGGGCAAAUAUCGGUUGGGUCUCUAAAUCAGAAGGAGUGCACUUGCUUGGGCUGAUUGAAAUGACAAGAACAAAGUAUAGGGAUAACCAUCCGUGAUGCAAGGCCAAUUAUAUAACCAAUUUCAUCAGAGUGGGUUAGAACUCAGCAUCUUGCUAAGCCAUUUUUCAGGUUUAGCAUUGGCCUAUAGCAUUUUUACUUAAGGAAUCUCUGACUCCAAAUACUUGCAGAAAAGGGACAGUAAGUUCUUUCAUGUAACAGAGGUAAAUAUUAAUCCCUGAUUUCUUGCAGUCACAGCAACAAACAUUUUAGUAAAUAUGGAUACAGUAAACAAAUCUGUAUGAGAAACCAGGCCUAACAACACUGCAUUUUUCUGCUAAAGAUCAUAUUAACAUAGGUCCCCACUCCCCUGUUUUUCAUGGAAUAGGGGAUAAAUUACCUGGUCUUUUUCCCCACCAAGUUUUUUAAAGCUAAAACUUACCUGAGCAUUAAAUGAGUUUGGAAGUGCCUGCUAGCUGAGGGGUAAAGCUGAAAUUUCAGCCGUUUGUCACUCACUGCAGAGUUUGCUUGGGUUUGGGGGAGAGGGAUGAGAUGACAUUGGAUAGGCAAAGCAGUGACAUCAGUCUCCUGGUGUUUAAAAAAAAAGUCUCUCCAGUUCCCUCUGUGGUGAGCCAAAUUUUCAGUUUCACAGUUAAGUCUAAACUUAAAGCUUUGUUGGCUGAAAUAAGAACUUUGCGGAGUGACAUUUCUGUUUUCAGGGCUUCUGUUGAGACCAUAUUGCUGGCGUAGGAAUUUAGCUUCAUGGGACAGGAAACAGUUAUAGGCUGUAGUGAGUAAUGUUCCCCUAUUUCAGAUGGAAAAACAUUGAAAAUCAUGAUUUUGGCCCUCAAAGAACAGCUAUUCGUGGCUGUCAUGGUUAACUCUGUCUCUGACUUUGCCUUGGCAACGAAGGUCAAUUUACCACGAUAACAAGGACGUUGAUUUUAUGGCACUUGACAUCUUAAAAGGUGCUGAAGUGCUUCACAAACUGGUAAGCAGACCAAACCAAAUGUGCCUUCUUCUGAGCAGUAAUCUCAAGAAAAGGUGAGGAUGUAUAUAUCCGCAUGUGUGCACACGUGCGUGUGUGUGUGCAUGUGUGUGUGUAGAAUUUUAAAAAAACAGGCUCAGGAACUUCCUAGCUAGACAUUUUAGGGCCCUGUCUGCAAAAUGUGGACUUGGGAAUAACCGCAGGCACUGGAGGCACCUGGUUUACGAAGAGCUGUAUCAUUCCAGCCUUUUUGUUUUCCUCAAGAGAACCUGACCUAGGGCCACAGGAGUUACUUUGUCAUUUCCCACCAUAUUGUCCUGCUGAGCCAAAGAAUGUUCUUUGUGGAGGUAAAGAAGCUCCCAUAUGAUUUUUAUGUUCCCUGCUGUCCUCAGAAUCAAAGUUCAGGUCCUAAGCCUGGGAAUCAGGGCCUCCAUCUAUGUCUUGGCCCCCACCUACUGUUCUGGUCUUACUUCCUGCAUCUCUGGAGGCAGUUAGUCCUGAGUUCGAAACAUCUUUACAAAUCACUUCUCACUUACUUAAAAGCAAAUGCAGCAUUUCUGUACUAACUAGAAAGAGCAGAACACUUACCUUGUAAGGUUAGAUUAAGGUCUGCAUUUAAUGAGCCAGAGGCACAAAAUCUUACCUAUUCCAGGGGGCAACCCAUAGCAGGAGCCAGAUGCAGCACAGCCCAGCAGAGCUGUCCCCAGGGUUGUGAAGAAGGUCUGCAGCAAGGCUGGGCUGUGCUAGACCUGGCAAGCCAAUGCUUUCUGUUUACCUGCCCAUUCAUUCUCGUCCUUGGGCUCACAUCACCAUUCCAAAAGAACUUGCAGGACAAUAUUAUGCCCACCACUUAAAGAGGACAUUGACAAGCCUGACUCAGGCCCAGUAAGGCAACAUCCUCGUCUAGGAGGAGACAGACAAUAGAGUUGGUGCCCAGCUGUCCCUGAACGGCAUCUGACUCCCGUCUGCCUGUGCUCUUGAAGCCCAUUGCCCCGAGGGGCACUCUCACCUCCUAUUUAAUAUCCUUCGUCUGUCUGGGAACGAUUUUCACAAAUCAGUGUCCCUGCAGGUAGUUGGAAGGAACAAAUGAGAUAAUUCCCACCAUGUUCUUAGCACAGAGCCUGGCUUGCGGUAAGUGUUCAAUAAAUGUUAGCUGCUAUUAUUAUCGUUAUUACUCACCUGCUCUGUGCUUCACAGAGCGUUAAAUACGCGUGGCACCCUGCAUAAACCCUUUACUUCCUGGCCUCAACCUUUCUCUUUGCCUCAAAACGUCCUUUCUCCUGUCUUUGCCUCCAAACCGUCCCCAUCCUGUUAGGCUUUGCUCAAAUGCCACUCCCCCUGGGGGAGGCUUUUCAGAUUGCUUUCCGCUUCCCUUUCCCAGGCUGGAAACGCGCACACUCUCCUACUCUCCCUCUUUCCUGGCACUGUGCUACUUUCCUUUCCUGGAGCAAGGCUUCUCAGACUUUCUGUGGUCAAGAACUGGCCCCAUGCCCCCCAGUCCAUGACGGAUCAAUACUUGUAUAAAGUACAAUGUAAAAGAAAAAGGCAGUUAAAAAUGCAAGCUCCAUUUUUUAUUAUUAGAGUUAACAGACACAAAAUUACACAAUCACAUAUAUGGGCAAGGUUUAAAAGGCUUACUCUCAGUUUCUGUACUUCUCUUGCCCCAGACCAACAAUGACCAAUUUGAGGACCGGCAGCAGUUCGUGGAGCACACUUUGAAUAGUGUGGAGUUUACGUUAUUCCCAUCUGCACUGGCACAGUUACUCAGGUACUGUCUAAUUCAGUGAACCCAACCUCCCACACCUGGCAGGAGGCUUAUACACAGGGUUGCUCGAUAAAUUAGUUGAAUUGAAUGAAUGAGUGAAUAAAUGAAAGCACAAUAAAUAUUGAAUGAAUGAAUAGAUGAUUGACUUGCUGAGCAUAUUUAAAACUCAUAGUCCUUAGGAAGAAUUUUCUUAAUGAAUAGCAUGCCAAAGGGAUUAUAAUUUUUUUAUCUUUGCCUUUUAUAAAAUUCACUCAUUUGCAUUGCAUAUUAAGACCAAUUCUUUUUCCUUAGUUUUUAAAACAUUUUUAUUUUCCGUCUGUGAUAGCUAAAUGGAGAUAAGGUUUAUACUUUCACAAAAAUAAGGGCAUACUUGGUAAUAUCUUCAGAAAUAAGAUAGGUGAGAAUCUUAAGAGAACCCAUACCUUAUGCUUUAGUAAGAAUCAGGAUUUCUGAAUUGAAUAAUUGCAAAUUAGAGAGCAGAAGAAAGAUAUUAUAUACUUAUAUGUAUAUAAACUUGAACAGUUACCACUCAAGAGCCGUAUUGAAUUAACAAAAGUAAAAGUUUAUUUUGUAGUGUUGCCAUCAGUCACCAAAUCAAUGUUAUUUGAAAAGAAAAUCUCCCUACCCAGGUUUUCUUCCUCCUUGGGGAAUACAGUGGUAAUUCCCAGACUUGUGGUAAAGGAACCAGUGCACCAGUAAGCAUGCCUUCCAAUAAUCACUGCAUCUGUCUCAACAGAAGACAAAACCCAGCCCUACCUCCUCUAGAACUACUUAACGGAGGUUUUGAGAUUUGAGGGUAAGCUAUACACAUUCUUCUCUGGAAAUCACAUACUGCUAUUGUUCCUUCACCUUAAAAAGAGAAAAUAAAAUCAAAUCGAGACCUGCAAACCAUUCAGCCUCCUUCAUUUUAUUGUCUCACUAUCUCUGGUCUCACUUUUCUGCAGACUUUCAAACUCACAACAAUCUCUCCUUUUUUGGGGGAGGUCUACACUGCACAGUCAUUCAGGCCAGGAACAUUUGUGGAAGUCUCCUAUGUGUGGAGCAGGAAUACAGAAGGAAACAAGACACAAGGAAACAAACAACUCCACACAUGUAGCUGACAGUUAUUGCACAAGUCCAGGAGCGCCAUAUCCAUGGGGAGAGAAGUGCAGGGCGUGCGGUGUAUGAGGAUUGCGUUGUGAAUACUGAUCCAGUUGGACGACAAGGAGCUCAGGGAAGGUUAGUGCAGGGAAGUGACAUUUAAGGUCCAACAAGAAGGAUGAGUAGAAAUUUACCAGAGGAAGUAGUGGAAGAGAGUUCUAGGGCUUAUGGAUGACUCUAUGACCAUCAGGAUCAUCAGUAUCACUCUCUUCCACACCCACAUCUUGUCCCCCUGGCAGGUCUUCAAGGGCAAUAACAGGCAUUGAGCUGUCCUCGCCUAUAACAGCAAUGCCUCCUUCUGGAAUAUCUCUGGAAGGACCUGCCUGAGGCUGUUUUAUAGUUAUCAUUUAAAAAAAAUAAGAGUACACUCUAAAAUGACAAUAUGAAGCAUAUUAUAAUAAAUACACAAACCAGUAACAUGGUCAUUUAUUAUCAUUACCAUGUAUUAUAUGCUGUACAUAAUUCUGUGUGUACUUUUUUUUUUUUUUGAGACUGAGUCUCGCUCUGUUGCCAGGCUGGAGUAUAGAGGUGUGAUCUCAGCUCACUGCAACCUCUGUCUCCUGGGUUCAAGUGAUUCUCCACCUCAGCCUCCCUAGUAUCUGGGACUACAGGUGUGCACCACCAUGCCCCGCUAAUUUUUGUAUUUUUAGUAGAGGUGGGUUUCACCAUGUUGGCCAGGAUGGUCAUGAUCUCUUGACCUCGUGAUCCGCCCACCUUGGCCUCCCAAAGUGGUGGGAUUACAGGCGUGAGCCACCAUGCCUGGCCAGUCUGUGUGUACUCUUAUACAACUGGCAGUGCAGUAGGUUUGUUUACACCAGCAUCACCACAAAUGUGUGAUUAACUCAUUGCCAUAAGACAUUUUGAUGGCUACAUCACUAGGCAAUAGGAAUUUGUUAGUUUCAUUAUAAUCCUGUGGGACCGCUGUCAUAUUUGGUCCCUUAUUGACCAAAAUGUCUUUAUGGGACACAUGACUGUAAUAACAAAUCACUCACAGGUACAUAUUAGUACUUAGAAUGCCAUAGGCACUGUUAUUGUGGAUCAAGCUCUCAGAUACUAUAAUCACACCCAUUUACAGAUGGGGAAACUGAGGCACUGGGAAGGUAAAUAACUUGCCAAGGUAACAUAGCAAGGAAAUAAUGGAGUUAGGAUGUGAACAUUAGGCAGUGUUUCAGAGCGCAUGCUUUUAACAAGCGUACUAUUCUGCAUGUGCCACAGGCAAAAGCAUCUUAGAUUUCUUUUUAGGUUUGUAGUUUCUAAUACAGUGCUAAGUAAAUCAACUCCCAAUAAAUGCUUACUAUUUAAUCAGGUUAGAUUUAGUUAUUCCAUUGCCAAAGGGUGUUUAUUUAAUUGAAAACAAGAUGGGCUGGAUGAGGGUGUGCUGGCUGAACCAUGUGAUAACAGAGGCAGUGAGGUGUUGACUGAAACCACCUGGUUUCAAAUCUCUGCGUGUCACUUUGCCAGUACCAGGAUAAAUCCCGUGGCCUUUAUGGGAGAACUUUCAUUCAUUUAUCAAAUUUUUGUUGAGUGGCUACAAUGUGCUAGCCACUGUUCUAAGUUCCAAGGACUCAAUAGUAAACCAAACAGACAAAACCCUACCCUUGUGUAUCUUACAUCUUGCUCACAUGACAAUACACGUAACAUGCUUAGCACAGUGCUUAUGGUACUGGUUAAUAUUAUUUAUUUUUUUGAGAGGAAGUCUUGCUCUGUCACCAGGCUGGAGUGUAGUGGCGCGAUCUAGGCUCACUGCAACCUCUGCCUCCUGGGUUCAAGCUAUUCUCGUGCCUCAGCCUCCCAAGUAGAUGGGAUUACAGGCGUGCACCACCACACCCAGUUAAUUUUUGCACUUUUAGUAGAGACAGAGUUUUACCAUGUUGGCCAGGAAGUCUCAGUCUCCUGACCUCAUGAUCUGCCUGCCUUGGCCUCCCAAAGCGCUGGGAUUACAGGUGUGAGCCACGGUGCCUGACCUGUUAUCAUCAUAUGGUGCUGCUGGUUAGUGCUUUUUACAGACAGUAUUGGCACAUUCCUAAUUUUUUGGUAGGGUGUGUCAAAUGAGAUAGCAAAACAGGGUUUGUAGAUGGUGAUGGCAAAUUAGAUCAUAAAAGGUGAUUAUCGUUCUUUGAAGGUCUCCAGAAUGACCACUGUUGAAUUAAUCAUACAAUAAAAAUUGGCUUUAGGUUUUAAGAUAGCCAGCAUGUUUUCCUCAAACCUUAGAGUAGUAAUUUUGAUACUGUGCAUUUUAGUGGUAAUGGUUUAGUAGUAGCAAAGGUCUACAGACGUUUCCGUAAAUGGCCAUACAGUAAAUGUUUUAGGAUUUGCAGGCAAUGUGGUCUUUCUUACAACUACUCAACUCUGCCUGCUGCUGUAAGAAGAAAGCAGCCAUAGAUAAUAUGUCAACAAAUCGGUAUAGCUGUGUUUCCAAUAAAGUUUUAUUUAUAUAAACAGGCAUUCAGCCCACAGGUCAGUUUGCCAACCUCUGUUCCGGAAGAAAGUAAAAAUUCUGUUAGCAGUAACAUUGUGCAGGGGAUCAGCUUUUUAAAAGAAAACAUGAACUAAUAUUAAAAAAAAUCAUUGGCUCACUGCAAAGUCACAAGACUCCUUAGACACUUAAGAAUCUGAAUUUGACUUCUGAUGGUUUAAGUUUACUAUUUUGCAUGACCUUAUUUUCUGACUGGUUCAAGAUCAGGAUCGGUACUAGGGAUCACUUAAGGAAGAAAUUUCAAGAACCUGGAAGGGACAUCUUCUCUGGAAUAGAACCAGAGGAGAUAAACUAUCCCAUGGACAUUUGUAUUGGGCCCUGAAGGAAUUUUCAGCAGUGAGGGCUUUGCAGAAUUGAAAUAGAAGGGUUAUCGCUGAACAGGAUUUUCUUUCUCUAGACAUUUUAAAAUCCGGAGAAGUCCUACUCUGGCAACUGGUCAAUACAGAGUUAUUAAUUACUCACUGAUUAAAAUUUUCUACUUUUUCUGUAUCUUGUCCAAUAUGGCUUGUUUUUGAUCUGGUCAGAAGGUUACUGGUGGAUGGAGUGAAUGGAUAGUGUAUUCUCUCUGGGAUUCGGUGUCCAGGUUUAAGCCAGAGUGAAGUCUUGUUAAAUUGCAAUAAGGGAGAGGAAACCAUCUGAAAGAGAGAAAAAGAAGCAUUUUCUAAUGUCUUUCAAGAAAUGAAAUUUUAUUCAAGGGCCAAAAGAGCCACAGGGUAAUGAGACCAUGACCAGCAAACACCUAUACUAGAUAAAAGUAAAUUUUAAUUAACAUAUCAAUAGUUUGUAGAUCUUAGGUGCUUCCAGAGUGCUUGAGGUUGUUUGACAACUUUUUCUUCCCUUAAGCUCUUUUGCUUUCUCUUUGAAGAUCUAUUUUAAACAAAGAGAACCCCUGUUCCAAUCUAUUUUGAUCUCAAGGAUGUCUGAUUUAAUGUAAUUUUCUCACGUUCCUACCAACUUGCCCAAGGUGAGGAAUAAUUUACUUUGUUAGAGCAAAAGAACAAAGAACUUUUUGGGAAAUGGAGAAUAGUGGACUUCCUUUAAAAAUAAAAAAAGUACUGCAGUUUCGUACAUCCUGGCAAAACUGCCACCUAUCAUUUUUAAACUUUUGCAUUCUUAGAUGGUCUUACUUGGAUUUAAGACCUUUGUGAGUUUGUUCAAAUAGGCAGUCAUGCAAAAAGAGCCUGCGUUUUCUAAUGGUGGUCUCCUGUGUGUUUAGCUUUGGUUGAUGGGCGUAUUAGAAACAAGCAGAGCACGGGUGAUUCCAGCUCAUUGGAUACAGCAAGUAAUUACCUCCCUGCUUUUGGAAACAGUUAAAUAUACUCCCACUCCAGCAAUGAAUGUAGCCAGGGCCAAGGUGGGCAGAUGCUGGCUGCUCAGUGACCAUGUUCAGGAUGAUGUGUGUAGGAGGAGAGGAAGGAUUCCAAGAAGACUCAGUACCUUCUUCUAGGAUUAUAAGGAUUUAAAUAGGCCUGAGGGAAGGACCCAGCACAUAGCACGUGUUCCAUAAAGGGCACUUUCCAUCCUUAUCCCCUCUUUCUACUUUGAACUGCUCGUAGGAAGACCUACUUUAAUUCAAAUAAAAAUGCAUUUGUGUUAAACCUGCGGCAGAAGAUUCAAGGGCCCUUGGCCUCCCAGGGUUUAUAAAUAGAUGGAAAGAUGUAUAUACUGAGAAAAAAAGUGAAAUGAGAGUUAUGCAAGUAGAGAUGACUGUAUUUGACAGCACAGGCCAUGCAAAUGUGAGGUGAGUGGUAAAAUCAGUGUGAAAAAUAGACAAUGUUUGAGAAGUAUAGAUGGGAGGAGGGGGAGCUGGUCCAGAAUGGUUAAGGAAGGCUUCAUGGGGGUUGUGUGAUUUGACCAAGGCCUUCAUGGGUGAGUAGGAUUUGGAUGGAUGGAACAAAGGGGAUCACAGGUGGAGAGAGUUACAAGCUCCUAAAAAGCUGGUUGUGUUUUAGUUUUUUAGUUCAUUGUCCUGUGUUUGGUAAAUACUUAACGGAUGGUUAUUAAAUGAAUGAGUAAUUAUUUUGAUUGCUUUUUCUCCUCUGAACUUAGUCUAUAGCACACAAUUAAAACUCAAUUCUGUAUGGUCUCACCUCAUCAAGGCAAUUCUUUCCUGUCUGGCUAUACUAUUAAUACCUUGUGGGAAAGGCCCAUGUGUAAUAUUUUUCAUCCUCUCUAGUAAUAACUAGAAUGUUGAACAUGUAGCAGAUGCUGCCUAAACUCUUUCUCAUUGAACAAGAUGGUCAAAGACACAGGAUGCUAAACUUUGAUGAGAACUAGUGUUUCUUUAGGGCCCUUUAAGAAACAAAUCAUUGUGACCAUAGAUUGCUUUGCUACCAGGAAGAGCAGACCUACCUCCAGGGUCUGCCUGACACCAGUGGGAAUGAACCCAUAUACCACUUUUGAGAAUCUCCUUGCCAGCUUAUGAAGAUAAACCUGUGUUUUCCUGGCAACUAAUUUUGUAGAUGAACUUGGUCCAUGCUGCUUCUCCAUUAUGUCAACUUUUCACCAUAUAGGUUUUUGAUGGUCUCACCUGAAGAAUGGAAGUGGAGCUAAUAAUUACCUAGUAUCUACCAUGUGCUUUAACUUCCGCAGUAGCCUUGUAGAUAUCACUUUUGUUCUUUUAAAAGAGAGAAGCUCAGAGCAUGUAAGUGGCUUGGUCAAGGUCACAUAAUAUGUCAUGAUAGAUGAAUUUGAACCUAGGACUCUGAGCUAGAGCUGCAUUCCUUACAUUGUGUUAUGGUGUCCACAUGCCCCUGCAUUUUCAUGCAUUACUAGAUUUGAAUAAUCAGAGGGGAGAUAAAAGAAGCUAUUUUAGAUGAGGGGCAAUCGUUGAGGCACAGUCAACCAAUGACCUUGGCAGAAGAGGAGAGUACCUUUGAGGGGAUUAAUAAUAAAUAAUCUUGAAUUCCUAUGAUUGGGUGAGAUUCCAUUACAGAUGGUUUUGGAAGACUUCAGACUUUAUGAAAUAUCAUGGGAACCACUGGAAAAUGUUUAACUAGAGGUAUGACAUGAUAAAAUUAUUAAUUAAUCUAAUAAUUAAACACACUUAGUGAGUAUAUAUCAUGUUCCGUGUUGGAACAAAUCACACAUUCUUCCUGCUCUCAUGAAACUUUUAUUCUAGUGGGCAAACAGACCUUAGAUAAAUAAUUUCAUAAAUACUAUAUAUAAUACCCAAGUAUGGAACAUGCUUCAUUAUAAAUGUAAAAGGUCUGUGAGAGUAUAAAUUUUAGACCAUCCCUCUCCUGAGAAAGUUACUUUUGAGUUGAGAUCCCAAGAGAUGAGUAAGGGUUAACUAGCUGUAUUAGUCCACUUUCAUGCUGCUGACAAAGACAUACCCAAGACUGGGUAAUUUAUAAAGAAAAAGAGGUUUAAUGGACUCAGAGUUCCACGUGGCUGGGCGGUGGGGGGGGCGCCUCAUGAUCAUGGCAGAAAACGAAAGGCACAUCUUACAUGGCAGCAGACAAGAGAGAGUGAGGACCAAGUGAAAGGGAUUUCCCCUUAUAAAACCAUCAGAUGGUUCAGUAUGGGGGAAACUGCCUCCAUGAUUCAAUUACCUCCCAAUGGGUCCCUCCCACAGUAUGUGGGAAUUAUGGGAGCUAUAAUUCAAGAUGAGAUUUGGGUGGGACACAGCCAAACCAUAUCACUAGGUAAGAAGAGGGCUCCAUGCUAAGGAACAGGAUAUGCAAAGACCCUGUGGCAGGAGGAACUCUACCUGCUUUUUUGAAGAAUUCCAUAAGGUAGCCUUCAGUGGAGCUGAGUAGAGAGUGGGGGAGAGUGGGCUAAAACAUGAGGGGAGAAGUAGGCAAAAGCUAAAUCUCAUCAGGACCUUAUAGACAAUUGACAGAUGUUUGUCUUUAUCCAGUAAGGUGUUUGUAUGCUCCUUAAGUGGCAGCGGGGAGUGAGCAGAGCAGUGAAGAUAAACAUGAAAGCUGGUGGUAACAAAUUCUGAUACCUCCUCUAUUCCAAAAGGAAAGGCAGAACUCAGAGGCACCAUCCUCCUGUUGUGUUUGCAAGCUGUUGACACAACCUGGAAAGGUUAAAAGUUUUCAACAGACUUGUCAGAGUUUGUGUUCAAUGGAAACUGACAGAGCCUACCGGCUGAGGGGCUAAUUUUAAUAGAAAUAACCUAGGUGCGUUUGUUAAUUUUCUCCGUUCCCUCAAUGACCUGUCUGCAUAGCGUGAAGGUGCUUUGAUGUGACCAGGAGAACAGAAGGAUAUUUUGUGCAUAGCUGACCGUGAGAGGAAUGCUGGUUUUGCAAUGAGGAAGCACAGGAAGAUGACAGGUGAGUUGGGUGGAAGGGGAGAUGAGAACAUGCAUCAUGUGGCUUUUCCCACCUCCCCAAAUGCAGCCUUGUUUAUCUAAGAUUCAUCUUUCUUCUCUCAGAGAAUUAACUUUUGUGAGUUUAGCGUGUCCAUAGUUGCCAAGGAAAUUAAACAAAUUGGCCAAGUGUGAACAUCAGGGGAGGGGAAGAAGCCCCUGCUACUUCCCUCUGAUUCAGUGAGUUUGUUGCUGGUUCUCUUUGGUUUCAUAAACCUUGUGGUGCUUGCCGAGGUCUUUUUAGGUCCAAGUGGCAGGGCACAUUCUGCCUGUGUAAAUGGACGGGGUGGGGGAUGGCCUCUUUCCUACAUGCAAAUGAUCCUGGUGUUGCCCACACAUAAAGGUCUUUAUCUGCUGGCUGCCAUAUCUGGAUCUGUUCUGGGGGUGAGUUGCCAGGACAGUGUGAAUGCCCUGAGAAUUAGAAUGGAGCCCCAAACGUGUGCACACUCUGACUUUGAGUCGUUGAGGUCUCCUAGCAGUGGCAGGCAGAGCCUCCUUAGUGGUAAUGGAGCCAGACACUCUGUGGGCACCAGGGACAAGGUCAUGGUGUGUGUGUUGGUGGUGGGCUGCAAAGUCAGCUCCAUGUGGGGAGGGUUCUGCUGCAGGGGGCACCCCACCCUCCCUGUGAGUUCUUGGAGAAAGUUCUUAACCCCAUGGAUUAUUUCUGGAAAGUGGAAGUCAUUACACUGAGUUUACCGGAAUCAAAGGAGUAGUAGGAGCAAUGAGGUCCUGGAUAACCCUAAAUUUAUCCAGUUAACUCUUAAUUGUCUGGGGACUGGUUACCCAUGCAGUCAUGGUGAAGGCUCCCUCCUGCCUGCCCCAAAGCAGCCUGCUGAUGCUCACAGCCCAUCCUCCACUGCCAAGUUCCUCAGCCCCGCCCAGGAGAGGAGGGCAGCCCACAUCUCACCAUGCCUUCUCCAUGGUUGCUUACAACAUUGCUUUCUCUCAUACUCCAGAGCACACUGCGCUUGAGUUACCCACCUAAAAUAAGUGAAAGGAGUUAGGGAAUACGGGAGAUAGGAACGUGUCUGAAUAAAGACAUUUAUUAAACAGAUAUCUCCCUGCCAAGCAUAUAGUAGGCACUCAAUAAUUUUUGUCUAUCUUUAACCUCACUGGGCAUUCAAAAUUAAGAGACAUUCAUAUUCAAAAUACAGAAUGAUUCUUAAACAAAGUACUGGAGUUUCUUGCUGGGGCUUGGAAAAGCCUCUGUUGGUCCUCUUUAAAAAAGCAUCCAGUCUAUUAACUGGGAGGAAUCUGAAUGUGUAACACGCUGUCAUGUAGGGAAAAGAAGGGUCAAGCAAGAAAAGCUAGAUUAGAAUGUUGUAUGUUAAAGAAAGAAAAACUAGGUGCAUGCUUCAGUGUAGGAGGCAUCCCUGGAAAAGAGCAGGUUGAGUGAUUGUGAGGAUUAAGCGCACCAGCCCGGGGAUCCAUGAGCAGAACCAGGAAGUUGUGGGUACACAGAAGAGGAAUUUGGAUCAGUUCUCCAGCAAGAAAACAAAAAUGUGCUUUUGACAGUAGGGGCCAUAUCAAAAGGAAAUUGGAUAUCAAAGGAUGUUUUAAGAAGAGCUUUGGAUGUCAGGGGCCUGGAGCAGAGGGAAUACAGAGCAAAAACGAAAGGCUUGGGAGGCCAGAGGUCCUCAGCUGUGGCUCUGACAGUUGGGGCAGCCAAGGCCAGAACUCACAAUGGGAAGCAGGGCUUUUCUUUUGUUCUUUUAAGGGAGGGAUGUUUAUAGGCCACUCAAGGAAGAGACAGAGACAUUAGAUUUCACUGCCUGUGUGACGUUUUGUAGUCCACUCAUUGGCACCCCUGAGCUUGUCAAGUCAGUCGGGUUGAGGGGGGGCUUCUCAUAUGGAGACCCCAAGAGUGGGUGUCUGCACCCUGCUGACAACUGCUGACAAGGAGGAAAGCACAGAUUCUCUCAAGCAUCCACUUUCCUCAGUGGGGCAAUGACACGGGCCGGGGUGCAGAACCUUGUGCUGAGGGCUGGGAGAAAUGUAUGUGUAGCUUGUGCCAGAACUAGGAUCCGGGGGAUGACCUGGGGUUUGUUAGGGUGUGUUCUUAACCAAAGCCCCGCCUUCCCUGUGUGCCUUGGGAGAUGGUUUGGGAGCUGGGCAGGCUAGGUAUUCCAGGUUAGCUCCGAGCACACACAAACCCAGGCACACAUUGCACCUCUGUCUCAUAUGGAUUCUAUCACCAAGACCCUGAGAAUUACUUCCAGCAUUCAUAGCAAACCUGUCUGCUGUCCCCACCCGGUCCAGGUCCUGACCCUGACUCCCAGUGGCCCUCUGUACCAUCUCCCACUUUUGCCCUCUGCUGUCCACCUCCUUUUCCUCCACCACACACAGCAGGGAGAAUGUCCUUUCGGAAAUGCACAUCUGGUUCUGUCACUCUCCUGCUUGAAAGGCUUUCUUUUCCCCUGAGGACAAAAUUAAAAGCCCUUUACCAGGUUUACAAGGCCUUGUGUGACGUUAUUUUCUUAUUUUAAAGGAAGGAUACUCAGAGAAAAGAAGGGGAGAUUCGAUUUUAGAGAGAUUCAAUUUCUAGGAUCAUUCCAGUUUACCCUUCCUGCUGCUGAAUUCUAGCCAUACUGAUCUAUCAGUUUCGUGAAUGUAUCAUGCUCUUCCCUACCUCGGGGCCCUUGCACAUCUUGUUCCCAGUGCCUCGAAAUUUUUAUCUUAUUCUCUCCACAGCUGACCCCUACUGAUCCUUCCAGUCUCAAAAUAAACAAGCCUUUUUUUCAGUCUCUCAUGACCCUACUUUGCUUCCAUUUACUUUGUUACAAUUUCCAACUGGAUAUUCAUUUAUGUGAUUACUUGUUCAUUGUCUGUCUUCUCUAUUAACCGUCCCUACCCUAAGAGGAGGGGCCAUGUCUGUUUUGUUCAUCUGGAUGUCUUCCGUAUAUUUUAAAUGUUGGUUGACUAGAACAGUGAAUGAAUGAGUGAUUUGUAACAGGUUGCUGUGACUCUGUACUUUCAUGGAGAAGAAUUUCAGCAGCUAGUCACUGUUAACUUAAUUUGUUCUCUCUACAAGCAUCUGAUGAGCAGUUAAUAUGUGCAAGCUAAGGCACAUUAUCUAUCUUCAAGGAGAUUCUGGUGAAAGAGACAGUCAUAAACUAUCAAUCCACACAGUAGAAUAAGUGUUACAACAGAGUUAUAUACAGGGUGGUCUGAGUACAUAGUUUCUCAUGCUGGUGUUCCAGGUAGUAUAAUUUUCUGAAAUUAAAGCUGGUAAGAAUCAACAUACCGGGGAUGUGAUUAACCAUUCCCAAAUCUCAGAAAGACAUUAGCCUAAACUGUAAGGAGUGUAAGAUAAGCCGUGCUCUAGUUAAUUGUAACUGAGGGCAUGUGCUGGUGAUAGAUAAUGUGAUGGCUGAUAAAGAAUACUGAAAACCAGAGCCACGGGAAUGUGUCAUGGCCCCUUUCCAUUAGGGGGAGUGCAGCCCCAUGCCAAAUGAAUGGUCCCAGCUCUCUAGCCACAGGUGGCUCUGAAGAUUUCUAGCCACAGACACCCCUGGACAACACAGUGAGACCUCUCUAGCCACAGAUAGCCCUGGAGCCCUGAAGUGGAGAAGGGCACACUGUUCUGCUUCUUCCAUGUACAGCCUGUUCUUCCAGCUUUGCAAAAUGCUCUGAUAAAUUAGGAGAACACUUUAAAAAUUGACCGCUCAGGCCGGGCACCGCUGGUCAUGCCUGUAAUCCUCGUACUUUGGGAGGCCAAAGAGGGUAGAUCAUCUGAGGUCAGGAGUUCAAGACCAGCCUGGCCAACAUGGCAAAACCCCAUCUCUACUAAAAAUACAAAAAAUUAGCUGGACCUGGUGACACGUGCCUGUAAUCCCAGCUACCCAGGAGGCUGAGGCAGGAGAAUCGCUGGAACCCGGAGGCGGAGGCUGCAGUGAGCCGAGAUCGUGUCACUGCACUCCAGCCUGGGUGACAGAGUGAGACUCCAUCUCAAAAGAAAAAAAAAAAAAAAAAAAAGAAAAUUGACCAUUCAUUCCCAGAUGUUGGUGGGGAGAGGAAAGGAGACAAUUUCUGGCUCUUUUGAAUUCUAUUCCUAUAAUUUAAGAUGAUUGACUACUUUAUUAGAUUUAGUAUCAGACUUGUUUCCUUCUUUUUAAAUUAAGUUUGACAAAAGGUAAUAGCAGUGAACCCAAGUUUACUAUUUUAGAACUGUCUUCACUAACUAGAAAGAUGACCUUUAGAUAGUUACUCCAGGAGUGUCCUACAAACGAAUUUCAUUCACCUAAGGGUAGAAGGAUUUGAACUUUGUUUCCUGACUUGAUGAGUAUUUCAUGAUAAACCAGUUCUGGCCCAUUAACUUCAUUUCUCAAAACACAGGUUUAAAAAGAGCGUUUCCUCAAGGAGUUGCCAUUAAAAAUGGAAUGAAUCCAACUUGCUGGAAAUAAAAAUGGCCAGAGCUGAACAUGGUACACAAUUGUGAUGAAAAGAGCUUGUUUUUUCGGUAGGAGGUAUGCGUUGCGUGUGUUGGUUUUGAAGUAAUAAGUAACGUUUUAUAGAUAACCACCAACCUGUGUCUGGUCAGCAGUCUAAUGUCCCACUACUGUCAAGGAUGCCUGUGAUGUGUGAGCUUACCUUUCCAUUCUCCUUGUAUCUUUCCUGAUUUAUCUAGAAAAUUAAAUAAAUAGGGAGGUAAUGUUCCAAGGAAAGGUUUCCCUUCCCUCACUGGGGAUUUAGUGGGGGACAGUAUAGACUGUCCUUUAGGAGAUAAUUAGAACUGACAUCUACAGAACCAUCUAAACCUUGCCCAAACUUUGCACUGGGAGGUUGUGAACCGGAACCUCAUUACUGAAUUCCAUAUUGUGGAGUGUGGUCUCAUCCAAGGAAUGUCUGCAAUUCCCAUUCCAAUCUGAGUAAACAGUCAGUUAUGAACAGUCACUGGGGUAAACCGUAAUUAGAUAUGUUCUUGAGGUUUUUAGAGUGAUUCUUUCAUACCUUUGUAAAAUUGACAAUACGUGAAAGAUAAAAAUUUCCCCACAGAUAUUUCAGCUAAUUACUCCUUCUAGGUAAAGAUUGGCCCCAUUUCUUGGUCUGUCUGAUGAUGACUUUUCAUUUUCUGCCGUAAACGAACCUAAUUUGCAAAUGAAAAAUUUCACUGAAGCGUACGUUGCCUGCAAGGGAAUUACAGCCCGGAACCUUUGGAAGUAUUCAGUAGAACACGCAAGAGAAUUUUAAACAAAAGACUUAUGCUCUUAAUUCACACAGUUAAAAUAACGAUUGCUCCUAAGCAGUACUUAUUAUUUUUAAGUUUAGACAUUCCAAUAACAGUAAUCAAGAGGAGUUAAGUUCACUUUAAAGCAAAGCAAAGGAGGAGUAACUGUCAAAACUUGCUUAAUAUUUCCUGUUUGUAGGGUGAGAUUUUCCUCAGAUCACACCACAUUCCCUUGUCGAUACAUGGAAGCCCUUUACAGCUUGAUGUUAAGAAUAGGAGUAGCAGGCUGGGUGUGCACACCUUUAACCCUAGCAUUUGAGGAGGCCAAGUCGGAAGGACUGCUUGAACCCAGGAGCUCGAGACUAGCCUGGGCAACAUAGUGAGACUCCUGUCUCUACAAAAAAUACAAAAUAUUAGCUGGGCAUGAUGGCAUGUGCCUGUAGGCUUAGUUACUCAGGAGGCAGGAGUGGGAGGUCACUUGAGCUCAGGAUUUUGAGGCUGUAGUGAGCUGUGAUCACGCCACUGCACUCCAGCCUGGGUGACAAAGCCAGACCUUGUUUCUUAAAAAAGUAGAAAAGAAGGAAUGAAGAAAGGAAGGAGGGAGACAGAGAGGGAGGGAGACAGUGAGGGAGGCAGGGAAGGAGGGAAGAAGGGAGGGAGAAAAAAAGGGGGGAGGGAGAAAAGGGAGAGAGGGAAGGAAGGAGGGAGGGAAGAAGGAAGGAAGGAGACAGGGAGGGAGGCAGGGAAGGGGGAAAGGAAGGAAGGGAGGGAGGGAAAGAAGGAGGGAGGGAGGGAGAGAAGGAAGGAGGGAGGGAGGGAAGGAGGAAGGAGGGGGAGAAGGAGGGAAGGAAGGAAGGAUUAAGGAAGGAAGGAAGGAAGGAAAGAUGGAAGGAAAGAUGGAGAGAUAGGAAUAGCAGUUCCCUUCUAGGCCCAACAUACCAGGCAGAAAACUUGGGUUCCAGUCUUAGUUCCUGCAGUUAUUGACUCUGACUACUGAGAAGAUUCUUUGCCUUGAGUAUCAGUUUUCUCAACUGUGAAGUUGGAAUUAAAAGGCCAAGCAUUCUUGUGCAGACUGAAAUGAUCCUGUAUUCAAAAGCUGCAAUGGUACAUUGGGAAUGAAGAGUAAUGGUGUAUCAGACUUAAUUAACACUAGUUAGUCCUUGUGGUUUAGGGCAGGUGAAGUCACGAUUUACAGCCCAGAUAGAUGUAUUUUAAAAAUUAAAAACAGCCAGAGAAAUUAUCCAAGAAGAAAUUCUACAUUUGUCACCUCCUUUGUACUGUACUUGAGAACUUUAUUUUAUCCACUUAUUUAUUCCAAAGAUACUAAUUGAACUCCUACUCUGUGCCAGGUACUGAGGAUAAAAUUGUAAGUAACACAAAAGUCCCUGCUCUGAUGGAGUUUACCUUCCAGGCAGAGGGAAGAUGACAAGCAGAAAGUCCUGGAGCCCCCUUGGAGAACAGGGUGGCUACUGUGAAGGGAGGGAGGAGAGGGAUGACAGAACUGAGGUCAGAGAAAGAGGCAAGGCCAGAAAAUGUGGGACCUUGGUAAAUCCUGGGGAAAGUUUGCAGCAAAUUCCAGGUAUGUAGCAAUUCCUUUUAUUUAUUUUGCAUGCAGAAAGCCUAUUACAAUUUAGAUAUUUAACCAGCCCAAUGUGCUGGAAAGCAGACCAGUCAAGACAGGCUCCUCCCUCCUUUCACUCCUGUUUAUUUGCGAGUCAGUCUUUCCCGACUUUCUGGACCCUGCUCAAAUCCUGCUUCCUCCACAAGCUCUUCCACAGUCUGCCCCAUCGGAAACACUCCCCCUCUUGUUUGCUUUUUCCUCUUUGUAGUACUUCUCACAUUCUGCCUUGUUUUAAAAUUCUUCAUGUUGUUCACCCUUAGUAGAGUAAGAGCCUCUGGAUGCCAAGACCUUGUGUUACUCACUAUUUUUUAUUUUUUGUAUCCAUUGCCAUGCACAUGUGCCUUCUACAUGGGCGAUGCCCAGUAAAUAUUUAUCGAUUUGAAAUAACUCAAAUCUGUAUAUCAGGCUAGCAGAGAAGUGUUUCCCAAAGCGCUGCACCAGAGAGAAGCUGAUCUGAGGGCACGAUGGGAAAUGUAUCACGAACACUCACAAAAUGGCUCCCCAGUGUGUAUUUAUCCAGAUGUCCUUUUGGGAUGGGACAGGACCGGUUUUUAAUGACUCUGAGCUGCCUUCCCUAGGCACUAGGAGCCUACAUUUUGCUGACUGUGGAAGCUCUUUGUGUGAGCUCCACGGGCAGCUGUGUGCAAGGAAGAUCCAGCUCUUGUCUCAUCCCUGGAAGCUUGGACAAGUCAGUUUCCCCAUCUCUGAAAUGGGGAUUAUAACCUCUCUCAUGGGGACUUGGUUGUAACAGAUAAUCUUGUGGACUAUUUUGUUAAGAAAAAUAAAGAUUUAUGGUAUUAAAAUAUGUAUGCAUGUCUAAAAUAGCUUCCAGUGCUAUCUGGCUGUCUUUGCCUGAAUUUUACUAUGUCUGUAAGUGAGAUUCAGCAUUUUCUUUUGGACUGUGAAUUGUCGCUACUAAAUGAGCUUAUCAGUCUCUGGGAAGGAACAAAAUGUCAUUGGAUUUGCCCCAUGCUGCACUGCUUGUGAACUUAUACCAGAGCACACUGGAUAAAGCAUGUACCCGAUUCCGAGAAGGCUGCAGCUCUAUAAGGGACAGUAGUGUACACAGCCAUUCCCCAAAGCCACCUAGAAGAAACUUCAGGAGCCUUCACACCUGGCUCUGCCUCACACUCCCCCAAUGUGGGUGUGGGCCUGGUAAGGUGCUGUCCGCAUGGGGUCUUGCCUUCCUCAUCUGCAAAGCCUCAGCUCUGGGAUUCACCAAGAAGAGCCAAUCUCCUGCUCCUCUCACUUCUUCCACUUGCAGACAAGCUUUUGGACUCUGCCCUUUGGCUUGUGAUUCAUAAUUCCAAACCCCCUAUCAAUGAUCAAAUAAGCAGCAGGAAGUAGCAGUCCAGAUCCUUCAGGGGCCAUCUCAUCAUUCUGAGGACCAGGCCUUUAGUAGAAAAGAUGGGCCAGUUUGGAAGUUGUCCUGACUUUUAGAAAGUAGUUUGUGUCCCAAGGGGCCCCUGGGUGUUUGUUCAGGGCCUGUAUGGGCUGCCUCAAAAGGCCAGGAGGUGAUGGAAAAUCAUGGACCUUGGGGUCCUCCAGUCCCCAGCACUCCACCUCGAACAAGCAUCCUUAUUUGUAAUCUGAUUUGCCUAUAGGAUUCUGCAUAAGAUUUUGCUUAAGCAAAGGGUUCUGCUGCUUUUUAAAAAGUGCUCAAAACCUCUAGUUUAUAUACUUUUAGAUUUUGUGUCCUUGCACAACCUCAUUCUCCAUAAGAUUGGAGAAAGCAUUUGUCACCAGGGCCCAGCCCGCAGACUGAGUUGAUAUUUACAAAGUAGCCAAGAUUCCUCAGAUGGGUAGGCAUUAACCUUGUUUAGUUGAAUGCAGUCUUUUCUUUAUUGGUUUUGUAUGUAACUUCCUUUACAAUUAUUAGUACAUAUUAUUAAAAGCUCUUUCUUUCCAGGAAAUAAGCCUUUUAAAAGGCAUUGUCUUUUUUAAAAGAUAGGUAUUUUAAAAAAUAUAUUUUUGGUAAAUAAAUUCCUACUGUAAGUAUCUAAAAUACUUCUAAAAACUACCCCCUAUGAUCAUCUCGGCAUAUACCCUUCAGAGCAUUGCAGCAGCCGCCCACCUGAGCAUUCUAGCUUAUCCCUGGGCAAGCCAGCUCAGCCUCCAGAACACCAAAAAAAUCUUUCAAAACCAAGGACUGACCAGGGCCUUCCCUGAUUACAGCUUUACACCUUUACACCCAAAGGACAUUCUGUUCAUCCAUGCCCUGAAUUCUCUGAUUCAUCCAGUAACCUUUAUUGAGUCCCCAUGAUAUUCCAGGCACUGUCCUGAACACUGAAGAAACCAGGUUGAUGCAGAAAGACUAUGGGCUCUCAAGAAGAUGCAGUGCUUUUUUCCUGGAAUCCUCUUCCCCUUUUCUCUGCCUGGUGAAACCCGCUCCAGUAGCAUCUUUUCUGAAUUCUUCCUCAGGCAGAGGAACGCCUCUUUCUCAUUGCUGAGGCAUAUGCCCAUGUAUCUGUUGUUCUUCUACCUAAGGUUUGCUGCAAGUAGUUGUCUGCUGGGUGCACCAAGCCCCUGAAGGGCAGUAACUGGGUCUUCUUUGUGAUUGUAUCUCCAGCAUCUGGCUCAGCCCUGGAUACCCAGUAGUGGCUCAAAUAAUGUUUUCUAUUUCCUUCCUGAUCUUUCCUAUCUGUGCUGGAAAUAACUAAUUCCUUCUCAAUUUUGUCUUCCCCACAGAACAAUGAGCAUAAGACAUGCUGGGUGCAUUUUUUGGACCUUACCACAUCUUGUUUGAGAGAAGUGGGACCAAUGCUGAUGAAACUCUUUCCCAUGGUGUGUUCUAUAUUCAUUGGAUGGGCAUCGCCUACGGCUGGAGCAGGGCUGAGCUCUGUACUGGUGUCUCUUAAAACACACCAGACAGCAACAGCUGAGAUACCUACUACCUGGAUCUGCUUGAUUAGAUCAUACGGUCAUAUUUGAUUACUUAGAAUGGGCUUCUGGAGGAUCUGUUGCUGAUUGCACUGGUGAGUUUUGGGUUUUUUUUCCAUCUCCCCAUUCCUGACUGUCUCCCCUAUGGUUCACCCAAUGUCUAUGAGUUAUUUUAGCUUCCAGUAAUAUUUCCAUUUCAGUCAAAACAACAAUGAAAUAAGCCUGGCAAAGAAAAAUCUAUAUGAUAGCUGGUUUUACAAAGGAAGGCAUAAUUACAAAAUACUAUAGUUGCUUUUGGUUUCUGUGGGGUCAACAACACCUAACCAAGAGUUUUAUCAAUAAAAACAACCUUUGAAAAAAUGAGUGAUUAUUGAUUAUGACUAUAAAGUAUAGAUCUUUUGAAGUAUCUGCAUUCAUUCAGCCUCCAGAUGGAUGAGUUUUUACUUGUCUGUAAUCCAUCCAUCCAUCCUUUCAUUCAUUUUAUUUAUUCGAUGAAUAUUUUUAAGUGCUUUGUGCCAGGUACUGUGACACGUUCAGGGGAUGAAAUGGCAAAAAAAGAACUGUAUUUGUCCUCAUAGGGUGUACGGUCUACCUAGUGUACACAUCACAUGCUUGUCAUCAUUUAAACACACUCCAAGACUCAUCAAAUGUCCUGAAAUGCAUCAGAAAAAGAAAAAAAAAUAAAGCCCGGAAGGAAAUGGAGGGAAAAGAUCAGUAUUACAUGUAGAAACAGGCAAAAAGCUUUAUAUCAAUGUUUUGCGAGAAGAUAAAAUAGGUAUCGUGAGCUGAGGUCAGGCAAGCAGACUAGAGAAAUGAAGCAAGCAUUUCAUGUGAAAGCUUCCAAACUGUUCUUUUUGCAAUUACUAGUUUUAGCUCAAGCCUGAACCCAUAUUCUUGCUUUGCUUUUUCACCUCAUUUGCCUUAGACAAAUUCUGAUGGGAUGUAUUAGUGUCCCAUAUACCACCUACCUAUUUAAGAUAAAGCCUACUUACAGCUAAUAGAAAGUGGCACUAUAAUGUAUAUUUCAUAUAUUUUAUAUAUAUAUAUAUAUAUAUAUAUAUAUAUAUAUAUAUAUAUAUAUAUAUCAAAGCUUGUGAUCAUAGCCAUUAGAAUUAUGUUCUUGUAAUAUGGGUGAUACACACAAUUUACGAAGUUGGAAUGUUUGGGGAGGAAUGUAAUUGGAAAACUACCAUCAACAAAAUGGCCCAAAUUCUUUACCAAAUAGCAUUAGUUAACCAAUGUUUUCUAACACUGAUUGGCAAAGAAAGUGCAUCAGAAUUACCUGGGUCCUUUGUUAAAAAGGCAGAUUCCUGGGCCCAGCCUCACCUGCUGAAUGAAAAUGUCUGGAGGUGGGAUCUGGGGAUUUGCAUUUUUAACAGAUUUGGUAAGUUCCCAUGCACAUUGAAGUUUGCAAACUAUCAAGCUGGUCCAUCUAUUUUUUUUUUUUUUUUUUUGAGACAGAGUCUCACUCUGUCGCCCAGGCUGGAGUACAGUGGUGCAAUCUUGGCUCACUGUAACGUCCACCUCCCAGGUUCAAGUGAUUCGCCUGCCUCAGCUUCCUGAGUAGCUGGGAUUACAGGUGUGCACCACCACACCCAGCUAAUUUUUGUAUUUUCUUAGUAGAGACAGGUUUCACCAUGUUGGUCAGGCUGGUCUCGAACUCCUGACCUCGUGAUCUGCCUGCCUCGAACUCAUGACCUCGUGAUCUGCCUGCCUCGGCCUCCCAACCAUCUGUUUUACCAAGGAAGAAUGUGAACCUCAGCCUCAGAGAACUGUCUCUGAGAAAUGGACAAAGCAAUAAUGCAGUAAAAAGAAAAAAGAAAGAAACCAGACACCUUUCAGAUUCUUCACAAUUCCCAAAUGCCAACAUUUCUAACAUUUGAGGUUGACAAGAGCCCAACUGUAUUUUGCCAGAUUUUUCCCCUCAAAUUUUACCUCCCUCUCCCAAGCAUUUUUAGGGAAUUCAGUCCAUGUGUUCUUGAUAGUCCUGCACUAAACUUAUCGAAAAUGUCAUUUUGUAACAGUGAUUUGGUUGCCCUGUAGUGUUUCAAAAUCUUUUGUUCCUCCUUAGAAACCAGAAGUUGUACUUGGCCAAGGACGAGCUAACCCCAAACAGCAAGAGGUUUGAGUUGGCUCCAAAGCACAAGCCUCACAAAUAUCCCGUGAGUCUCCCACAGGCUUGGGGCUCUCUGUUUAGAAUUAGAACCUAAUCUUCAAAUAUCCCUUUACCCUCUUGCCUCAAAAAGGAAGGCAGUGAAGAGCAGCAGCAAGGCAUCCUGGAUGAGCACUGGAAGGGGAGAAUGCUCAUGUUUUAGUCGUGGGCUUUCCACCAGUUAGCUGUGCAGCUUUGGGCAGAUACUUGAACUUCUCUGGUGCUCUGUUUCUUCAUGUUUAAAUGAGAGGAUUAAACUGUAUGACUUUUGGGUCGAAAGUACGUCUCUGCCAUCAGUAUCAUAACAAUUAUUGAAAUUGCUGCCUAGAAUCUUCCGCUACCACAGUGUAUUUUGAUUGGACUGUUUAUUGCCUUAGCAAACACAAUGCAGUGCUGUGUCUUUGGCAUCUUGCCAGGAAAGAUGAGCCAAUUUUCUCGUGUUGCUUCUGGAUGUCAAAACAUUCUCAUCUGACCAUGCCACAGAAGAAGUUUGUUGAGAGUGUGACUGACUGACAUAAUGACUGAUUGGCUGAUAACGGCAGCUGACAGUGAUUGAUUGAGUGUAAAAUUAUCUGUUCUCAUUACUUCUGAAAUUGAAUUCAGAUUGGUUCUAUUGGAGGGUUUCCAUGGAGACCAUAACCUGCUAUAGCAAGUGUUUGUGGAUGCAAUGUUUUAUUGUGAUCAAUACCUGUUUCCUCUGCUGGUCCAAAGAAAUUAUUAAUGAUUAUAGUCAAGUAGAAAGAGGCAACCAUAUAUAAGAAGAAAAAAACUCUCAUAUUUUGUCUCAUUGCUACAUAAAACAAAUGUGGGCCUUCCCAGACUUGCGCUUUGGCUAACUAGUUCAUAAUACGUUCGAUAACUUGCCAUUCUUCUUUUGCUAUUAAUGCAGAGGGUUUGCUUUGGAAAAAAGAAAAGUAUUUCUAGGACUCUUUCUCUCUUUGAAGAAGAUCAGAAUAAUAGACGAAUGUUCAUACUUGGUUUUUUUUUAAAUGCGAUGUUACAGAAACAACAAACAUUUAAUCAAAUCUUAAACACACCCAUGUUAAUGCAGAGACAGAGAUGGUCCCUCAGGCUUUUUCUGGGUUGUUUCCAUGAAUGAUAAAGUCAUUAAACAAUUUCAUAGGCUUGCCUUAUUGAUCUCUCACAAUGGCAUGCUAUGUCUGCUCUUCAGGAAAGCCUUUCCUGACUGCCCCCAUCAGAGUUAAUUACUACUUACUCUGUGUUCGCAUGGCCUUCUUCCAUCUUCUAUUAUAGCAUUCAUCUCAGGCCACCUUGCCUUACAAUUACUUGUAUCUCUUUUUCCCACUAGAUUAUGACCUCCUUGAGGACAGGGUGAUUUUCUUGUUGCUCUUUGUAUUAUCCUCAGCAUCUAGGUGAAUCUCUGAUACAUCACAAGGGUUCAAUAAAUGCUCAUUGAAUUGAAUUAACUGGAUCUGCAUUCCAAGGUCAUCUCUUCCUAGACUGGUGUUGAAUGGGAUUCCCAUGAAGUGAGGCAGCAGAGUGCGUGCUUGCUGGUUCUGUUGCUUUGUCUCCUGCCCUGUGGCUGCGUCUGUGCCCAAGAGGAUUGUUAGGAUAUAUUGUGCUACAGGAGAUUGAUAUUGUAUAGGAUGUCUGUACAGCUUAUAGACUGGUGCUGACCGUACUGAAAUGAUGGUGGGAGGAUACCUAAUAAGGAUUCUAUUUUAUGCUUAGCUGUAUUCAUUCAUUGGUUUGGUUGGAAUCUGCUUCAGCGUACUUCCUCUACCCAAAUUUGGCUCAUUAGCUGAAAUCACUUUGGGAUGAAUCCACUGUUAAUAGUGGCUAACAUUUUUCAUGCACUUACGACAUGUCUGGCACAGUACUAAGUACUUUACAUAUUUUUCAAUUCUUACACAUUGCUCCCAUUAUCCCAUUUUGAAGAUAAGGAGACUGAAGCACAGAGUGUUUAUUUCCUAAGGUCACACAGCUAGGAAGUAGAGGAGCUAGGAUUUGAAUUCCUAUAGUCUAGCUUCCUACCCCAUUCUUAAGCUAUCUACCCUGUUGCCGCCUGACAAAAGUGUGUUUCAAAAUUUAAUUCCUGAACUGACUGCAUCAAAAUCCCCUGUAGUGUUUGUUAAAAGUGAAGAUACCCCAAGACCUACUGAUUCAGGUUGUUUUCACCGAGGCCAGCAAAUCUGCACCAACAUGUUUUAUUCUGUUCUGUACCUCAAGCUUUGAUGCUGCUUUGUUUUCUUGUUUUGGGAGAAGGGCAGGGGUGGGGGUGGAGGCAAGCGAGUCCAAUACUACAACUUUAGAAAUCUCUGCUCUAGGGUGAACACUCUCUUUGAGACUUCUAAAUUAAAGUCAAGUCUUUUGGAUUUUUGUUUCUUUGUACUGCCUAACUUUAGAAAGACCUGGAAGCGGUAACAUGAAAACAUUUUUAGAGAGAAUUACCAGGCAUUUUUGGUAGAAUGAGUGUUUAAUGGAACAGUCCAGAGAACUCAUCAAAGAUGUUUAUUAAAACGCGCAGACCUGCUCCAAUUAAGGGCCCAGUCAGUGGUGUUAACAGUGAAGGGACUGUUCCAGAGGCGUGCUGCACGGGACGCCCACCCCAAAUACAAAUGGUUUGCCAGUAGCUCACAAAUGAACCCCAUUGCCUUGCACUUAAGCUUCCUGAAGCACAUACAUAUCCUGCUUUGUGCUUUCCGCCCUAUAGUAAACGCAAACCAAUGGAGAUGUGAAGCAAUCUAAUAGCAACAAGGCAAACCUCUACUUCCUCUAAAGAGGAUUGCAUCCUCUUGCUAUCUUUGCCGAUGCUCUCCUACAGACCCAUCCCUGUCAUGUCUUUCCUGUCUUUCUAGUAGAAUUCUGGCUGCUCCCGUAGGACCUCCUUGCGGGAAUUUUCCCUGGUUGCUGCCUCCAAGGAGAGGCUCCCCACCAGAAAGUUUUAAGAGGCUUAUGCUUCUGGGGUUAAUGCGGUCCUUUCUGUCACCUUGUUUUCUGUUCCUAGUUAUCUUUCGGUAACUUUUUUCCUAAACUACUCUGAAAGGCAUAGACUGUCUCUUGAAAGCUCAUCUGUUCUUAACCCCUUUCCCUCAUUCCACUGACUGCAGCAUCUUCCACAUACCAUUCCCUCUUAGCAUUUAUGUCCAUGUCAUGCUUUUGUUGGUUUAUUUGUGUAUUUUCUGCUUCCCACCAUUAGAUCAUUUGUAGAAUUAAUGAAUGCCUAUGGGUUAAUAGAUUUUUCGCUGUAUCCUCUUUUCUCUGUAUCUCUCUGCCCAGUUGCUUAGAAAUGCUUCUGUUUGUGUAUUUGUAUCCACCUUCUUUGGGGAGAGUUAUGACCCUGGUCCUUAUGCCAUCAGUGGUAUUGCAAUUUUGUAUGUAGCAUGACCAUUUUUAAAAAUGACAUUUCAUAGUGAGUGAUUCAGACACCUAUCAUUCAGCUUACCUGCCGGGGCCCUCCAAAAUGAGCAGAAGGCCUCUGUCUCAUUCUAGAAGCUUGAAGGUCUCCACGUGGUUUGCCCAGGGGCCCACAACCUCCCUGCAGUCCAGGAGUGCUCCCAUUAACCCCAGCUGUGUGAUUCAGACCAGAUUCUUAGGACUUUUUAAGUGAAAUGGGACAGAAAAUUGCUUGAUGUAUUUUGCCACAUGAAGUACAUUUUGCUGCCGCUUAGUUCUUUAUUGUCGUUAGAUUAAAAACUCUCCUAACGUUGUGUGGGUAAGUAAAAAUCUUUUUAUUUUUAUCUGGUAUGUUUUGAAAAAAAGGAAAAAAGAAACUAGACAUUGUCAAAAUAUUUGCUUAAUCUUGCAGAUUUGGGAAGUUGUAUAGCCACUCGCUCUGACAGACCAGAACAAUGGUCAUUAAAUGAGAAGCAGAUGUAAUAAAGUAUGCAGUAAAAGCCUUCUAUUAUGGGCUGGAAGGGGAAAAAAAUGAGUUGUUAACAGAACACAGUAAGCAUUAUGGAAUAAAUCAGAACAAAACCAUUCCCAAUUACUGUACAAAGAUAAUUAAAGUCUACAAUGCUAAUUAAGGUCUGUUUAUAUCUAUUUCUGUUUGUGUACAAACAUAUGCGCAUAGUUAAAUAUUUUCCAUUGUUUUUUAUGUGAUGCUAACUUCAUAGUUGAAUUUUUCUGAAUUUAACUUUUGUUUUUAUGUUACCAGGAAGUACAAUCUCCAGAAAACUGAAACUCCAGCUUUUCCUCCUUGAUCGUAGCUUAUUUUUCUUGGCUAACUUCAGAAAAUUCUUCAAGCCAGGAGGCUUUCUAAGCUUACUCCUGAUGCAGUUAAAACUCAAAGGUUUCUGGAAGCCAAUGAAAAUCCUCACCUCUGACUGAAAUGGAAUUUCAAGGGAAAGAAAAUACAACGUAUUUUAUGAGUCACAAAGACUGUCUGAGUCGCAUUUUCAUCUCUAGAAACUGGAAGAAGUUCUAAGAGUGUGAGGUAAUGACUCAAGGACAACAGCUCCCAGAAAAUAACAGGGUUUGCCCUGCUGCUUUGGAGGAGGUUCUCCUGAAUCAUGUCACUGAAGCACAGCUAGGGCCCGGGACCUGGGACCACAGCCCUUGAAGGGAAUGAGCGGCUGUCUGGGGGCUGAAAGUUCUCUCAGGAGAGGCGUUUUCACAAGGCUUUGUGAUACCGAGCCUCAGGCGUGGACAGAGACGUGUUUUAGGAUUUGAGAAGCCUGUGGAGAAAUUAAGUCAUGUCCCAGUGUACAGUGCUAUGCCAUAAGAAUGGCUAGAACUUUCAGGGGCAUCCUGGAGCUUGACCCUGGCUCAUCAUUUUAUACAUGAAGGGGCUUUGGGUCACGGAGGCAUGGGUUUGCGUCCUGUCUGUUUGAUUCAUUAGAUAUGUGAUCUGGGCCUAAAACUUCGGAGAUCUUAAACACCGAAAACCUUGGGGCACUUUUGCCUUGCUCCCAACCAUGAAAUACAAAAACCAAAGCAAAACAAACAAAAAGUAAGCCAGAAGAUAUAAAAUUGCUUAUAGGUCUGUUGUCUAACAUCAAGUGCGGAAAGGGGUCUAACAAAUUUCCAGCUGGGUGCGGUGGCUCACACCUUUAAUCCCAGCACUUUGGGAGGCUGAGGCAGGCAGAUUGCUUGAGCUCAAGAGCUCAGGACCAGCCUGGGCAACAUUGGGAGACUCCCAUCUCUAUAAAAAAUACAAAAUGUAGCCAGGACCAGGUGCAGUGGCUCAUGCCUGUAAUCCCAGCACUUUGGAGGCUGAGGUGGGCAGGUCAUGUGAUGUCAGGAGUUCAAGACCAGCCUGACCAACACGGUGAAACCCUGUCUCCACAAAAAAUACAAAAAUUAGCUGGGCGUGGUGGUGCAUGCCUGUGGUCCCAGCUACUCGGGAGGCUGAGGCAGGAGAAUCACUUGAACUCAGGAGGUGGAGGUUACAAUGAACCAAGAUCAUGCCACUGCCCCCUCCAGCCUGGGUGACAGAGGGAGACUCCAUCUCAAAAAAAAAAAAAAACAUUACCGGGCAUGGUAGCUUGCACCUGCAGUCCCAGCUACUUGGGAGACUGAGGUGAGAGGAUCACCUGAGUGUAGGAGGUGAAAGCCUCACCGAACUAUGACUGAACCACUGCACUCCAGCGUGGGCACUUGGCACCAGAGCAAGAUUCUGUCUCAAAAAAAAAAAAAAAAAAAAAAAAGAGAUCCAAGAAAGUUCUGCUUUUUCCUAGGAUGAAUGCUACUUGUAUAAUUUUUUUAAAUACCAACUGAUUUCCACCCCAGUUUGACUUGUUCCCCUGUUAUGCUGGUGUCCUUAGGGUAGAUUUUGUGGAGAAACCCAGCAGACUGAAUUACUACCUCUCUCUCUUGGUGUUGUGCAUAUUAAAUAAACAGAAGUAUGCCGUGGCCUUUAUAGAGGGUUGGACUUGUAAUCAACUCCCAACACUCGUUCAUGCAUUUUUUGUUUCCAUAGACUCUUAAUGGGUCCCCAGGGCAGUAACUGGACAUGCCAAAUUGGGGUUGAUCAAAGUAAGUAGGAGAAUACCAUGGUUUUAUAUAUCAGUGUAUACAAAUUGGAUACUUCUGCUUAUUCUUGAGUUAGUGGGAGUUAUCUACUGAUGAAGACAGUGUGAUAAGGUCUCUCAUCCCAUGUGAAAUGAUGAAAAGGAAGAAGUUGGGAUUGAGAUUACAAUGAAUAAAGGUGCAUCUUUCAUAGCUAGUUCAUUUGUUUCAGUGUCCACUCACAUGAGAGGAAACCCAAAUAUGCUUAGACAAAAAUAUCCAAAGCUGUUACCUGGAACACUGCAGCAACACCAGCAACAGGUUUGCUGUCUUAAAGGUUUCUAACUGAUCUUGAGAUUGUCCCACCUUUCCAUAACCCUGCAAAAGCUGAGUGGUAUAGUUUGGCUCUGUGUCCCUACCCAAAUCUCAUCUGGAACUGUACUCCCAUAAUUCUCACGUGUUGUGGGAGGGACCCAGUAGGAAAUAAUUUGAAUCAUGGGGGUGGUUUCCCCCAUACCAUUGCCAUGGUAGUGAAUAAGUCUCAUGAGAUCUGAUGGGUUUAUCAGGACUUUCUGCUUUGGCAUCUUCCUCAUUUUUCUCUUACUCUCACUGUGUAAGAAGUGUCUUUUGCCUCCUGCCAUGAUUCUGAGGCCUCCCAGCCAUGUGGAACUGUAAGUCCAAUUAAACCUCUUUUUUUCCCCAGUCUCAGGUAUGUCUUUAUCAGGAGUGUGAAAAUGGACUAAUACAAGUUUUGUCAGUUUUUUUUUUUUUUUUUUUUUUUUGAGGCAGAGUCUCACUCUGUUGCCCAGGCUGGAGUGCAGUGGCAGGAUCUUAGCUCACUGCAACCUCUGCCUCCUGGGUUCAAGCGAUUCUCCUGCCUCAGCCUCCCGAGUAGCUGGGAUUACAGGUGCCCGCCACCACGCCCAGCUAAUUUUUUUUGUAUUUUUAGUAGAGACGGGGUUUCACCUUGUUGGCCAGGCUGGUCAUGAACUCUUGACCGCAAGUGAUCUGCCCACCUUGGCCUCUCAAAUUGCUGGGAUUGCAGGUGUGGGCCACCGUGCCCGGCCUGUCAGUUCUUAAACAUUGAUUACCACUAGGGAUACUGCUGCCUCCCUGCAUCUCUUACCUGAGGAGCCAAAGACAAGAUGCAAACCUGCAUUUAUGUUCAACCUACCAUUUUCUUCUACCUCCAGACAGCAAAACCACAAACGUGUUUUAGAAUAGAAUUAACCAGUUAACUCUCAGUUAACCAUUUUACUUAAAUCUGUACACUCUUUGCCACAAUGUGUCUAGGGGGUCACAUUUUUACCCACUUUUGAAAUAAGAAAGCACAAAAGUACAGAAAGGAGUCUUAUUUAUCACGGCGGGGCUCUGAAUAUGACCCCAUCCCAGUCCAUAGCAGAUUUUGCAUCAACAGAAUGUGUGUCUGUGUGUGCACCAUUGAAAAUACUGGCAUGAAAACAAAGAUGGCACUCUGAACUUUGAGCUCUGUUCUUAAAAGCAUUGGGAAAAAGAUGGUGCCUAUAAGGUCAAGCCCAGCAGCCACACACACAAUCCAAACUUAUCUUCCUGCGGUACCUUAGCAUGUGACACAAUUGCCGUGCCCCGUUCUACUCAUAUACAUUUUUUCCCACAAAUUAAUGAACAUGUUUGUAUUAAUUAAUAGCUGCCUAAAUUUGAAGUCUUUCUUUGUCAAGCAUUUUACAUGCAAUUAGCUCACUCAGUGGUCCCAAACACCCUGUAGGGAAAUUUAUUUUGUUAUCAUGAUUUUAUAGACAGGAGAACUCAGUCAACAUAGUCGUGAAGUAAAAUGUCCCAAAUCAUAGAGCCUGCAAAUGGUUGACCUAGCAUUUGAAUUCAGGCAAAAUCUGAUUUAGAGCCUUCACCUUUCCCACUCUUUACAGAUGCCACCCUGUAGUCCCUUGUGUAAGUACAUCCUGUCAGCCUUUCAAGGCUCCCUUGGGUCAGCACAUAGCUAUUUGACCAAGGGCACUUAUUCUGAGCAGAGCACCAUAUGAAGCCCAUCCAGGUGAUAUACCAUUCAUGUAUAGUGCCCGCCCUCAAAAUCCCAGUGCACCAGUAAGAAGAAAUUGGAUGUGUACACAAGCACUCUCCUGGAGGCUAGAACCGCAGGUAGGAUGUUCAUACAUCCCUGUUUGCAUAGGACAGUGUGUUUUCCUGUUGUAAUUAUUGAUAGUGCUUCCGUGCAUCUCAGACAUGCCCUACUUUGGAUUAUAUCAUUGCCCUCACCAUAGGAGAAGUACAUCAGAGGAUUUUAAGGAAGAGAAUUGUGCAUCUGGUCCGGGGAUUGCAGGCAAGAUCCUCUUCAUGGAGAAGAUUUAUGCUUAAGCUGUUCCUUGAGAGGCAGUGUUGUUCUGUGGCUAGGAGUGUGGGAUCCAGGGUCAGGUUCCCUGUGUUUGAACCUUGAUCAGCCUCAAUGUCCUCACUUGUACGAUUGCUAGAAUAAUCCUCUUGCCUCAGAGUUAUUGUAAAUAUUAAGAACUAAUACUCAUAAAGCAUUUGAAGCACUGCCUGGCCUAUAGCAAGCACUUACUGAAUGUUAGCUAUAAUCACUUAAACAGACACAGGUUUGGAAAAGGACAAUUCUAAGUUUAGGCAGUGAUACUGACGGUGUAUUUAGGGUUUUCUAAUAAUUGGUUACUCAUAGUCAUUCACGGAGCCUCUGCCUUUCUAGUCUCCCACUAUAGAGGCUGAAACAUCGCAGUCACUUUUCCAGCCUCCCCUGUAGCCAUGUGACCCAUUUAUGGCCAAUAGACUAGAGAGGGGGCGUUGAGGAGGACCUCUCUUUGCAGGCCUCUCCCGUCCCCAGCGUUGGAACACAGGUGUGAACUUGGUGCUUGCCGCAGCUGCUACUGUCAUCUCCCCACCUUGAGGGGAGGACCAAGAGAGUUACCAACUGUGGCCCGGAUCCCUGACCUUGUACAACCAGUGAAGCAAAGCACAAAGCCAUCUGCCCCCAGAAUUCACGUUAUGUGGAAAAAAGUAAAUGCUUAGUUGUUUAGGCCACUGUCAGUUGAGUUUCUGAUACAAUUGAAUUCAUCAUAACUGAGAGGCAGCAAUAAAUAGCCUAAUUCAGCACAAAGGUCUGUUACCAUUUGGGAAGGAGAAAAGAUAGAUGAGGGGCCUAAAAUGUCCUCAGGAAAUUAUACGGGGCCCUUGAAGUUUUGUCAGUUUGGGAAUAAUGUGAUUUGAGUUAUGCUUUAGGAAGGGAAUUCCAGCUUCAAGUUCAAUGAUGGAUUAGAGCAGAGACUACAAAAUCUAAUAGUGCACCAAGAUUGCCUGGGAUACUUUUCAAAAUAAAGAUGUGAAGGGCCUUUUGUUGAUAUUCUUUGAUCAGUCUCUCUGAGGGUGAAGGUUUUGGAAGCAUCUGGAUUGGAGAAGGGAAGCCUUGGUUGUUGUAACAAUAGCCAGACAUCAUUAUCUUCAAUAAACAAUAAGAAAAGAGCCUCAUUCACAUUUUAGAGAUGUGAAUAUUGGGCCUGAAAAGUAUUGAGUCACUGCCCAAAGUCUGUUUGCGAAGAAGCAGCAAUUCCGAACUAGAAUCCUGGCUCUUCUUUCCCCAUUGUGUGCAUGCUUUCCAUGGUAAGAUGCUAGCUACUUCUGGGGCAAAGAGAGUGCUUUCAUCCUGGGCUGCAGGUGGGAUGGUCUGAACUUGAGUAGUAGGAGAGAGGAUGGAAUGUUAAGUGACAGAGGUGGGAAGCUAAGUGGAGGUGAUACUGAGAUGCUGACUUAAUGUGGAGUCCUAAAGAGAAGGGAACAGAAAGACAUAUAUGAAGCGUUUCAAACUUGCAAAAUUCGGACAGUGGCAGCCACAUUAGGAUUUGGAAGGAAGAUGCAGCAUUCAGAGCUGGUUUCAUUGAUACUCUACAAAGGGACGUUCUGUGAUGAUGUCCAGCAGACACUUGCAAAUGUGAAUCUGGAGCCUCUGAGAGAGGUUAGUGAUUCCUUCAGUGGUUAAUGCUGAAGGGUGGUGGUGAAGGAUACAGAGAGAGAAGAGCGGAGGUCAGAGGACGGGAAGUUGGUGUCGGAGCAGAAAUCAGAAGAAGCUUUUUGAGAAGUGGCAAAGGAACCAGGAGCAUGCUGUACUUUGGAGGUGAAUUCUGGGGGCAGGCAGGCCCCGUCAGUGACCAGCCAUUGGAGAGGUGGUCAGGCCGACAUCAGGAACCCCAUCAGGAGGGAAGAUGGUCAUUAGGAGAGUGGCACAGAGGAGAAGCAAGGUGCAUGAAGGUACGGUACCCAUGGAUAAGUACAGAUGUGAGAGACUUGAAGUAGCUGAAUGGUUUCCUCUUUUGAGGGGAGUGCUGGAAAAGGUGAGAGUGGGGCAGGACAGGUUUCCCCCCCUUCACUAACUUUUCCAGCCCAGAACAACCCCACCUCUUUUGAGCAUCUCUAACGAUUAUCCUCUGAACCAAACUAUUUAGCACGAAGACAAAACCUUCCACUGUCCUCAGUUUGAGGUGCAAGCCUGGUUAAAAUUGCACAGAUUGUAUAUUAGCAGGAAAUAAUGUUUGGUAUAUACUUGAUAAUCAUCGACUGACAACACUAGGAAUUACUACACAAAAUGGAGGAAGAACCCAGGGGAAGACUUUCUUUUUUCUUUAAAGAAAGGGCAUGAUGAAGGACAGACAUGGGGAAAAUUCUGUUCCUUUAAAAUGUGGGAAGCAGUUCCUGAGAACAAAUGGGGUUAUCAUGACAAUGUUAGAAAUUUGGGGCGAGUGAUGCCAGCAAUAUCAAUUUCAGAGGAGCUGCGUGGAGCGCUGUGUAAUGUAUUCCGCUGGGCAUGUUCUGUGGUGCUGUGAAGCCAGUGCAAUUCUUGUGCCUUGCAGCAACUGGGUCCUUUUGUAUUAGAGAGCUUUGGAGAUGUUAAGAGCAUUUGGGGAUCUUAGCAGAACUAAAAAAGAUCCUUCUUUUCAGAGGGUGUAUUAGAUAAGAUGGAAGAAAACUCAGAGGGGAAUAGAGCUGGAUAAGCUCUGUUUGCUUUAAGCCCUUCAGCCUGGAUACGUAGGUCUAGAUUUUGUCUUGGGCCAUUUCAGGUACUCUCUGUGGCAAGGUGCACAGGUUAAUUAGCUCAGAUAUAUGCACAUUUAAUGUGUGCCUUGGCAGAGAUAGACAUAUACAUCCUUACCAUUUAUGAGGAUGUGUGUCUGUUAUGUGUCAAUAUAUGUGUGUAUAUUUGAGUAUAUCAUCAUAUACAUACGUACUCAUAUGUGUUAUAUGUAUGAUUGCUCUGAGGUCAGUAUAGUCAUAUAUACAUCUGUACUUAUCCAUGAGUACCUAUGCACAUGUUAUAUAUGAGCACAGUACAAUAUAUACAUGCAUGCAGUAUAUACAUGCAUGCUCCGUAUAUACAUGCAUGCAGAUGUAUAUACACCUGUAAAUAUUUAUGAAUCCAAAUAUAUAUAUGCCUGUGCAUGUGGAGUUUUUCACUACGCUACACACUACACAUACACAUACGCUCCCACACGCCCUCACAAUUUAGAGACCAGUGACACCUUACAUUUAUAAAGUACUUUCCAUACUUUUCUGAUUGUUUCUGCAUCCUUUUUUUUCUAUUUUGAUUCCCAAAGCAAUUUUAGAAUGUGAAUGGGGAAAGAAAAGCCCCAUAAAACUAGCAGGAAAGAAGCCACUGAGCUGUCCAAGGACACAGAGCAAGUCACAGCUAGAGCCCAGGAGAGGCCCCCGGUACUUGCCACUCUAAGCCUACUACACUUUGCUGAGGAAUCAGAAGGCAAGACUCCUCAGAAUUAGUAAGGAGCCUGGAUUAUGGACAAUUACGAAGAUGUUCCAUUUUAUCACUUUUCUACUAUGCAUAGUAAAUUAUAAGGGGCUAACAAAGUAUCACAUAGGAGCAUUCUUUUGGAGGAUCUAUUGUAGUAAAUAGAAAAGACAGUUGAAUAGUUUUCUAUAUGAACAGUGCUUCUAAGUGCUUAAGAAGAGCUUAUGUCAUGUAGGUUGAGCAGGCAUGCUGCAAUGCUUUUUAUGAUAUUUAUUUGUUUUGUCAACCCUUUCACUCCUUAAAUAAAGGUAAACUUCCGCUCACCCCGUCAGAAGGAUCAACAUGGAGAAUUAGUGGACCUGGAGUUCAUAAGGUUUUACUGUAACAGCGAUUAGGAAGGAAUGCACAUGUGUUUGUCUCCAGGAAGGUUAGAAAUGGAAAUAAAUGCAAAAAUAUGCUUUGUGGCACGUCAUCAUUUUUCAUAUGAAAAUGGAAAGCACAAGACAGCUUUGUUUUGCCUUUUUGGGGGGCUCGUGGCUGAUUUUCUCUUCUUGCUUCCUGGUUUUUGUUAGAAAGAAACUUGUUCAUUUCCCACCCACUCCACACCCCCUCCCCCACGCUGAAAUAUCUGUCCAAGAUCAUCCUUUCAAGUGUUCAGACUUAGAGAAGGGAAAAGAAAAAGAACUGUGAUUUAAAAUAUAUAUGUACAUCUUUUUUUUAAGCUUGCAAACUGGGAUUUCUAGACUCAAUUUGUGUUCUUGAGAUAUUGGAGUCAAGUUUAUGUAUAGUUUUUGAUGUAGGACCUAAUUAGGCUCUCAGCAUAUCUUAAUACUUUCUGCUACAUCUGCAUUAAAGAUAACAUUGCAUACAUUUGCAUUUCAUUUACAUAAAAAAGUUAGCCAUGCUGUAUGUAACAAUCACUUUCACCAAGUACCGUUGACAGCAAAUAUUUUGAAUAAGCAUGUGAAAAUCCAUGUCUACACAAAGCCUGUCCUGGGUUCUGUUGAAUCUCUCACAUUUGGAACUUGUUUUCAUGUAGUGUUACUUAUUCCAAUGGAGCCCUGGAGGUUAAGCCAAUAAAUAAAAACGUAGGAAUCAAAAGAGCCUGCUUUAUGUGAUAUAUUCAACUUGGAAAAGAAAGGCUCAGGUGAUAUUCGUUUGGAUGUUGUUUAUAAUUUUAACUGUAAUGGUAAUCAAUGAUAAUAAUAAUAAUAAUGGUGUGACUUUUAUGAUAUGUUUUAUAGGAAAGUGGGUAACUUUGGAAUAAAAAUAUUCAUUCAUUUCUUUAUUCAUUCAUACGUCUUCGGCUGAGUAUAUAUGGGGCAACCUUAUUUCCAGGUCUCACUUAAUGAAAUCAGGUUUAUCUGGGCCAUUUUACUUUAAAAGUAAGCUUUUACCAGGGGGACUACUCCACCAGUUUUCUCUGCUUGCCUCAUACCCUGUGUCCAACGAGGCACAUUUUCACACUUCUAAUUGCCCAGUGACUUGUCUCCCCAUUUCACCACAUUCAGCUAUUCUUUACUCCUUAUGGGUCGCGAAACCUCCGGGCAGAUUCUCUGGGGUGUGCUUCAUCCACAUCAGAUGAUGGGCGUAGCUUAUGACGAUGUAGACUCGUCUGUGGUCAUGGGACCCAAAGCUCGUAGAACACACUCCUUCCAAGGAGUGUUCUUUAAAAAUGAUCCUAACCAAACACAGCUGGGAAUUGUUAUAUACUUUACCUCUUCUUGGAGAGCCACAUGCACAGAGUACAAAUCUUGCUUAACUUUCUCUAAGUUGGUAUUUCCCAAACCUUUGGAACCAUGAAGUCUUUGUUGGCAUGCCACCUGUUUAUCCUGGGAGACCAUUUUCUGCAGUGAUUUUGGAAAUCACCAUUCUAUUUUAAGAACCACAGAAGCAAUGAUGACGGCAACCAUAAUAUUAGUGGCUAGCAUUUGCUAGGAGCUUCUCGAAUGCCAGGUGCAAUGGUCAGUGCUUUAUUUGUAUUAUCUCAUCUAAAUUCCCUCAAGAACUGUAUGAAGCAGAGUGCCAUUAUUAGCACCGUCUUAGAGAUGAGAAGACUGAGAUGUAGAGAGGUUAAAUAACUCACUCUACAUUGUGGUACUAAUGAGAGAAAAAGGGGAAACUGGAGCCCAGCUAAUGUUCUUGUUUUUACACCGUCUACAGUCUCUCACAAAGCCUGAUACUCUUCUGUUUCCAGGCUGCCACUGCUAGUUCCUGCAGUCAUCUCUCCGAUAUCAUGACUCAAGCCCUCCGGUCGUCUUGGCCACGUUCCCCCUGGUUUAUCCAUAUUCCACGUAAACUGUGUUCAUCAUACUGAAAACAGACCCCUGGAGGAAUUCUGAGGUCCAAGGAUUUGGGCAAGGUCAUUACCUCCUUUUUCCUGGACCAUCUUCUUCAAUUAAUGCAACCUAAGACUGCAAUAAGCUCUUUUACAGGUAUAUAAUUUUGUAUCAUUUGGAGCAUAUUCUUAGAAUUGUUUGGUGUUCUUUCCCCCAUGUAUGCAGCUGAUUUUUAAAAACAGAUCUGUGAUCUAUAGCAAGUUGCUCAAUCUCUUUAAGCCCCACAUUUUUGGUGAGUAAAAUAAUAAUAGCACAGACUUCAUGGCAUUGUGGUGGUGAACAGAUGAGCACCUACGCUUCUCAAUACAGCGUCUUCUACAUAAUAACUUCAAUAAAUAUGAACUAGUAUAAUUAUUGUGUUAUUGGAAAAUUAGAAAUUGCAGGUGAGCAAAAGGCCUUUCUUCCAAACAUUUUUUUUUGUGUAUUUCAAUGUAAUUAAUUUUUUUUACUUAAAAAUUUUGAAUUAAUAUCUCAACUUAUAAGAGCAGCUUUGUCAGUAUAUUUUAAAUGAUUCCCACAAUGCUGAUUUAGGCAUUUUACAUUUUGAUAUGCAUUUUUAGCUGGUUUUCAAAGUCACAAGGCUCUAAGGAAAAGAACUAAUCCUUAGUUGGCAGGAAAGUCCCUCCCCAAAUCCUUGGAUUAAAAUAGAAUCUGCCGCCAGGGCUUUCCUUGUCUUCUGUGAUUGAGAUCUGUCUCAGGUGGGAAGGCAUCCGGUACCUGUGCAUGGCAAGUUCAUUCUUUAGAGAUAGAAUGUGCAACUUUAAUAUUUAUUGAUAGGCACACUAAUUCUCUUGCUGAUGGUAAUUAAUGAGGUGCUUAUAUCUUAUUUUGCGGUAGUUUAACGAGCUUCGGGCUAUAGGAGAGAUCCGGUGCUUGCUGUAAAUGCUGAGAAUCAAAGAUGCUGGAGGAAAAUGCAGAAAAUGGAGCAGAAAAAAUAAGGUUUUAGCAGAUAAAAUAUCUCAGAUUAAAAACACUCUCAAAACAAACCUUGGUAAGGCAGAAGCAUUUAAAAAUCAGGGAGAGCUUGCCAGGGAGGAAAGUCGCAGGUUCCCUAUUCCUUGUUCCCUAAGCAUGCUGUUAAUUUUGACCACCCAUUUGUCUUUCUACCCCUUUGGCUUCGUCUGUGUUAGCAGUGUGAAGUGAAAAAUUGAUAGGAAAAUGUAUUUUUUUUCUUAAGGCUUAGAUAGUUACAGCCAAAACAUUUUGUCAUAUUGGGUUUUGAAUAAUUGUGUCAAAUCUACACUUAAUUUUGCCUUAGACAGCUAGCCUUAUGACCCUAGUUAACCUGUAUUUUCUCUUAUUCUUUCAUCCUUUGGAAAUGAGGUUCACAGAAUACAAAUUCAGAAGAGCAUAAAUUCUAACUCCUUAGAAGACAGGAAUAGAAGUCAAAGUGACCUCAAUAAAUCAAAAGCAAGUUGAAGUUCAAUAGGGACAAAUGUAAGGUAGGAUACUUAUGCCUAAUAGACGGACUCACAAUUUUAAAAUCAUCUGGGCAUGAUUGUGAUGGAAAAGUGUCUCUCUGUCAAGGACAUGAGGAAGCCACAUCCGCAGCCUUGUCUAAGGACCUACUAUGUGCCAGGCAUUUUGCAUAAGUCAGCUUGCUUACAAAUACACUGUAAUAAUCUCAACAGUAACUCUCAAAGCUGUGUAUAAUUUGUGCUCUCAUUUUAUAGAUGUGGAAGCUGAGGCCGAGAGAGGGUAAAUAAUUUGCUCAAAUGUUCACAGUUAGUGAUUUAACUGGUUUUGGAUCCUGCUGUAUCUACUUGACCAAGAGUACUUCAUUACAGAGCUGUUAUUUAAAAAGCCAACCCGGCCGGGUGCGGUGGCUCACGCCUGUGAUCCCAGCACUUUGGGAGGCCGAGGCGGGCAGAUCACAAUGUCAGGAGAUCGAGACCAUCCUGGCUAAUAUGAUGAAGCCCUGUCUCUACUAAAAAUACAAAAAAUUAGCCUGGCGUGGUGGCGGGCGCCUGUAGACGCAGCUACUCGGGAGGCUGAGGCAGGAUAAUGGCGUGAACCCGGGAGGCAGAGCUUGCAGUGAGCCGAAAUUGCGCCACUGCACUCCAGCCUGGGCAACCGAGCGAGACACCCUCCAAAAAAAAAAAAAAAAAAAAAAAGCCAACCCAGUUCUUGGCUAUAGUAACUGAGACUUUACUUGAGAACCAGAUAAUAACCUUUCCAGUAUACUAUACAUUAAUUAAAAUUUAAAAGAAAAAUGAAUAGGAGAAACUGGAGCAAGUCCAAAAAUACCCCACCCAACAACAAAGGCAACAAGAGAAAUUUUUUAAAUUGGCCUAAUAGGUAACAGGCUCAAGGUGUUUGGGAUUGCUUAGCUAGGAAGAAUGCAGCUACAGGGUGAGCGACACACUAAUCCUGUAGACAUCUAAAAGGCAAUAAUAAAGAUUCACAUUUUACAUCAGUAUUUGCAGGUAACAAAGCACUUCCCUGUCAGUUGUCUUACUGGUUUCUCACAGCAGUCAUCCGGAGCAGAAGUCAGCAAACUUUUCUGUAAAGGGCUAGAUAGUUAAAUAUGUUUGGCUUUAUGGGCCAUGCGGUCUCUGUCACAACUCCGCAACAAAAGCAGCCAGAGGCAGUUCAUAAACAAAUGGGCAUGACUGUGAUCCAAUAAAACUCUAUUUACAAGAAGAUGUGACGAGCUGGAUUUGGUUCUCAAGCUGUGGUUAUGUGAAUACAUAUUAUCGUUUCCAUUAUUCAGAUGAGAAAAUUGAGGCUCAGAAAAGUAAAGUGACUUAUCCUAUGCAACUGAAUGAAUAAACAAUGUGUCUGGAACGAGAAUUCACUUUCUGUGGUUAUAGUUUGGUGCUCCAUGAAGUAAAUUGAAGACAUGUACCCAGAAAGAUUUCAGGGAAGUUUGUCAUCCCAAGAUACCAUUUGCCUGUGAUUGUAAUUAAAAUUGGGAGCAGAUGAAUCAAGAAGUUAGAUGAGGCUGGGAGCGCGGUGGCUCACACCUAUAAUCCCAGCAUUUUGGGAGGCCAAGGCAGGCGGAUCACUUGAGCUGAGGAGUUCAAGACCAGCCUGGGCAACAUGGUGAAACUCCAUCUCUACAAAAAUUACAAAAAUUAGACAGGUGUGGUGGUGUGUGCCUGUAAUCCCAGAUACUCAGGAGGCUGAGGUGGAAGGAUUGCUUGAGCCCUGGAGGUCUGGGCUGCAGUAAGCUGAGAUCACACCACUGUACUCUAGCCUCGGUGACAGAAUGAGACCUUGUCUCAAAAAAAAAAGUGAUAACUUGGUUUAGUGAAACAAUGUUUGCCAGGCACUUGAGAAAGGAUAUUUGAUCAAAAAAACAUUUAUCUGCUAACCUACAAGUCUAUUAUUAAAGUGAUUGCUUAAGAAUCUUUCUGAGACAUGAAUUUUGUUUGAAUUAUAGUUUUCCUUUCCCUGGGAGAGAAAAUACCUUAGGUGGCUUACAAAUUCAUCUGUCCAGUUGUCUUGUUAGAACUUAAUUUUGACUAGCAAAGGGUAGGAUUGAGAGAGAAUAAGGCAAGAGGAACAAGUUAGUGUUUGUGAGACUUGUGAUGGGGAGGAAGGUUGUCAGCAAAGAUUACUGUACCAAUUUGGGUGCCCUAUAGGAACAAAUUGGGAAAGCGUUGAUAGUAUUAGCUAAAUUUACUGCAUACUUAAUAUCAUCUUCUAGCACAUGUUUUACAUGCUAUGCUUGAAUUAAUUCAUUUAAUCCUCCAAACAAUCUUAUGAGAUAGGUGAUGUUUUUAUUUCCAUUUCAGAGGUAGGAAAACUGAGGCACAGAGCCUCACAGUAAAUAUUGGAGAGAGGGCACAUCAAAAUCAUGUUUUCUAUAAUCUGCUAGUGAACACCCCCCUUCCUGGUCAGUUUUGGUGAACGGAAGCUCCACAGCCCUGGGAUGUUUGUAUUGCAUGCCCAUGCAUUUCAUGCAAUUGGCCAGACCAGGUGAUCUCUCAGCUCUUUGUUUCUUUGAUAGAGAUGUAAAUUGAGGGAAGCUGUGGAGAAAACAGAGCGCAAGCUCUCUGGAAAUGAGUGCCUCAUUACUAGUGAAGCUUGAGGCUUGGUGGCAUGAACUCUAAGUGAAGAAUAUUUCUUCUUGUUUGCUGAAAGAAUCCUUAAGUGGGCACUUGGUAGCAAGUUUAGUUAAACCUAACCUGCUUGAGGGCUAAACCCUCAUAAAUCAAAAUAGCUCAAGUGACUGUAGUAAAUGCCAGGUACCCAGCAAUGCCUAGAGUAAUUCAGUCUGCUUUAUGAGUGUCAAAUAGCUAAUACUUUUUAUGUUCCUUUUUUUUUUAAUGCGUAGGAAAGCUUUUGCAGAUACGCUUUCCAUGAGAGUAUUUUGCCAAUAUCUCCCUUGAGAAAAUCAAAGGAAACGGCACUGUGUUUCCUCUUUGGAUUACAGGUUGUUGUUUUGUUUUGUUUUUUCAAGCCAACUAUGCUCACAGAUACCUAAAGUGAGAUUUAUACAUUUAAAAUCAAACAACAAAAGCAAAACUUUUGUCAUUUUAUUAGUCCUAACAUCAUUAGUUUUAGGAUAUCAUUAUUAGAGUUCCUUCCCACAUUUCUAUCCUUCUAAGAAAAUUGUCUUAGAAUUCAGGAACUUUAAUAGCAGUUCUAUAGAAGAGAAACAGAUUGAGUGAUGAGAUAAUGGAUCUCAUGAGAGAAUGGAUCAAGGAAGAGAAUGCAGAAGAUGCAGAUGGUGGAGGAAAAGGAAAGAAAUACAAAAUGGAGAGAGGAAGGAAAUGACAAGAAGCCAGAAGUGUGUGCAGUUGAAUGAGGGGGGUGGGAGGAAAGCUGGAUUUGGAAUCAGAAGAUAUGGGUUCAGUUCCUACCUCUGCCUUUGCUUAAAUGACCUUUGCCUUCGCACUUGACUUCAUCAGAAUCUUUUUAUAUCAUGAAGUAAUAAUCAUAUAAGCCUUACACGAUGUUUAGGUGACAUGAUGUAGUUGAAAUGUGCUUGGCUUAAUCAAUAUAUAUGCAUGGAAUCUGAGAGUUUUGGAAUAACAGCAGAACAGAACCAAGGAACCAGGCUCAUUGAUGUAAGUAGAAAUAGGAGGGAAGAACCUGAGGGAGUAAAUUUAUUUGAGUACUCCCAGCCAACAGUCCUCAUCUCCAGGUUCUAAAGUCAUGCAAUGUUCUUAUUGUCCACUGGGCAUAACACAGCACCCCCUUGCAACUAAGUCCUAAUAUGACUUCAUUGAUGUUUUUAUUUCCAUUUCAGAGGUAGGAAAACUGAGGCACAAGGGAUCACAGUAAAUAUUGAAGAGAGGGCACAUUAAAAUCAUGUUUUCUAUAAUCUGCUAGUGAACACUCCCCUUCCUGGUCAGUUCUGGUGAAUGGAAGCUCCACACCCCUGGGAUGUUUGGAUUGUAUGCCUGUGCAUUCAUACAAUUGGCCAGACCAGGUGAUCGAUCUCUCAGCCUUUUGUUUCUUCGAUAGAGAGUACUUGCAACUAAGUCCUAAUAUGACCAAGGUCACUAAUUUUCACUACAACUUUAUAAGCCAAGAAUAGGGUCUAGGAUAUGGACCGUCUUAGAUAUGGAUUCUUAAAGGGAUGAUUUUUAGCACUUCAGGGACAUCUCAGAUGGGACUCAAGAUGACUCUACCUGAAACAGAACCUCUGUAUGAUAGUAUUAGAUUCAAGUCCCAGGGGGCCCUGAAAAAUUACCUGUCCCAAAUUCUCUCAAAUAGAAGUGUUUCCUCUCAAAAGCUAGGGAUUUUCAUAAGGCAGAUUUACAUUUAAUUCUACUCUUCCAGUGUCUUUCUUUUUAACUCACCAUCUGACAAGGAAUAGUUAGCAUAUAACCCAAAGCAUAUGUGGUAAGCUUGUUCCUCCCUGCCUAAAUAUGAGUUUAAUAAAAAAUAGCAGUUAAACAUAUGUUAAAAAUGAAGCAGUACAGUUGGGGGCAAAGAAGAAAAGGCAACACAACUGUUUAUUAGUUGUGUUUUUCAUUUUCAUGUUCAGAGAAUUUGAAGACUCCAAUUUUUUUUCCAAGCUGCAGUCAGAUCUGCACAGUUGCAUACCCUGUUUGGGUCUUUAUUUCCUACAGAUGAACACUAGGCUGACAUGUCGAAGCCCAUGUCCAAAGUAAUGAACACCAAUUAGCAAAUUAAUGGAUUAAGAUCCUUUUUAUGUGUCAAUUGCCCAGGUUAAUCAUGUCAGGACUAAUAAUAUUUUACCUCAGGAUAGAGCUUUGACAUUACUUACAGAAAUCAGUUUAAGUAAGUGUUAAGUGAUCUUGAUUCUGUGGAUUGUAGUUCAAGAUUUGUGAGGUCUAAGCGUAGUCAAGACAAAUCAGAUGUUUCCAUUUCUCACUGUUGUUAACAGCUUCAUUAAGACGAUCUAUCUGAAUUAAAAUUAAAGAUUAGUCUUGACCUUAUAGGUAUAAAUAGACAGUCUAUGCCCCAUGUCUUUCUAAUUUGCCAGAUUUUCUUUCCUGUAUCGUACGGAUGAAUCAAGGUGGACAUCUUUCAUCUUGGUGUAUUUCCACCAAGCUAAACACAGUUGUUUAAGCAUAGGACUAUGCCCAGAGUUGUGGCAGUUUCUUUCAUUAGAGUGAAACGAGGGCUGCAAGCCCUAAGCUUUUGUUGAAAUGUGCAUCCUUCCUAUAAUAAAUUUUUACUCUAUCUUAAUAAAAUCCAUGGCAACUUUCCUACCCAUCCCUCCCCCGGAAUGGGCUACUUUUAUAGGGAAAGAAAGGCAGCAUCAGGACCAAGAAGGGGAUGGAGAACACCAAGUUUCUUCUUCUAACAGCGAUGGCAUUGAAGAGCUGUUAAUACUCAAAGUGAUGAAUCACUAAUGGCAUAUGACAUUCUUUCAGAUUCGCAUUUGUAUUUGCUACUCACAGCAGUCUUGUGAAGCAGUAGGCAAGGUGUCUGUUUUAAAGUCCACCUUAAAGAUAAGGAAACCGAGACUCUGAUAGGAUGUUUAUCCUAUCAGAGGUGGUAAGUGGCUGGACCUGACCCUUUCUAUGCCCCGUGUCUUUCUAAUUUCAUCAAAUGGAUAACUUUCUAUCCUUGGAGUUGCCCUUGGUCAGAGUCAGCAGAGAGGAAGAAAAGCAGUAUGCCUGUUCCUGCAAUUUUUCUACAUCAACAUCAUUAAUUUCCAAGUCAUUUUCAUUGUUUGAGAGUGGGUAUAUGUAUGCAGCUUUUCUAAAGCAUAGUGUACUCAGUUGUGGAUUUUUUUUUCUAAUGGAAUCAAGUAAAAGGCAUUAAAAAGGGGUAAGUCAAAUGUGUACAAAGGAAAAGAAUUCCAUCUACAUGCGCAUUUUUUUCCAUAGGAUUUCUUCCAUUCUUGGAAAUGAUAGCAUAAAUGACCUGAUUGUAGUUAUAAGUCACAGGUGGAAAGUUUAGUUUUCCUUUCCUUCUGUGAGUCAAAUUGAUUCCACCCCUCAGGGAACAGCCCAGUAUCAGACAUGACCCUCUUCCUCAGGGCUGACCUGUGCUCAUUCCUGUUCAUGCGUUCUUGAUCACCUGCUCGAGAGACCCAGCUGAUAUACCUGGCUUGUGGGUGCAGCUGGAAUAUGGCCAGAUCUCUUUAGAGAGCUAAAUCAAAUAUUUUCAUUAGCCCCCUUAAACCCAAUAAAGUAAAUUCUUGGGUCCCAUGGAGGAAAAAGAAUAGUCAUGAGAUGCAUUAGACAGUGGGUUUCAUUUUUUGUCGUUCAUUUACUACACACACACACACACACACACACACACACACACACACACAGAGAGAGAGAGAAUUUUGAAAUUCUUUAUACCUCCACAUGUUUAUCCAAAAUUUGACAUUUAAAUUUUUUUUAUCAUAAGUUUAAAUAGUUCAAUAGCAGAGGAUUUAAUUUCUGGCAUUUUAUAAAUAUUUACAUUUAAAAAUAAAACUUGUCACUUUUGAAAUGUAUCUAGUGAAAUCUAAAUACUAUUUUGGUGUAAAUGUUUGCUGUCAUUCAUUUUUUAAAGAAAUACACGAACAAGCUCUUUUUUGAUACCCAAAACUUCUACAUCUUUUUUCUUUUAUCCUAAUUUUCUAUUAGGAUAAUUUCUAUUAUCCUAAUUUUAUCCUAAUGUUAUAUAUUUUAUAUAACAUUAGGCUAAUGUUAUAUAUAUAAAUAUGUAAUAUUUUUUAUAUAUGUAACAGCCUAAUGUUAAAUAUAUAACAGCCUAAUGUUAUAUAUAAUAUAUAACAUUAGGCUAAUGUUAUAUAAAAUAUAUAAUAUUAGCCUAUAUAACAUUAGCCUAAUGUUAUAUAUUUUUAUGCUUAAAAAUCUUUCAUUGAUCAUGCUGUCAUAAUCCUUUGUAAUAAAAAUAUGUGUAAAUAAAUUUUUUAAAUCCUAUGACCGUAAAGGUAUAGGUAAUUUUUUAAAUCUUCUAGAUUGAUUUAUCAUUACAGUGAUUUUUAGAACAAAUUUGAUCAAAACAACACAAACGUAUUGAACAUUUCAAUAAACAAUUAUUAAAUAUAGAAGUUAAUGUCUAUUAGAAAUAUAUUUCUUAAUGAGAUGGAUGGUUCUUUAUUUCCAAUUAGUUUUUUUACCUAUGGAUGAAUGUUAUUUUUGCCAAGGGUUCAAUAUCAAUUCCAUUCCUUGUUUUAGUCCGUAUCAUAUAAAUGGUGAGAAACAUUGCCUAUCAAUUAUGUGAUGGGAACAGAGUUUCAUUAGAGCAAGGUCAUUUCCAUUUUGAACCUCUGAAUUAUACACCCAAAACAACCAACCACCUACCUUGGAUUUAUAAUGUCUUGGUUAUAGAAGGCUUACUUUUAACCCCUAUAUCAAAUUGGUCCUUUCUGGGGCAAGAACUCCAAUGGUGUUCAUAGCCCUGGACAGGCAGUUAUAAUAGAUUUGCCAUAGGUGAAAAUUAUGUCUUUCUGCUUGAAGGUAAGAGAAGCAAGCUUGUAAAUGGAGAGAUGAGUAAACUGGCAUGACCUCUUAACCACAAAUGCAUUAUCAGACACAUUUAGGAAAGACUCCGGGAAAUUGAGAUUCUGGAAUUUAAUUUCCUUAGAAUUAUCUAUGUCCAUAUAAUUCUAGGAAGGAUUUUUGUGACACUUCAAGAGGAUACAUUUUCUAGUUUGAAAACCCCUGUAAUAGAGAUAGAAAUAAGCUCCAAAAACCAAGGACAAUAAUUCAAAGGGAGUUAGAACUUACGAGAGUAGGGACAGUCAGUUGCAUCUAGUGAGCACUGAUAAUGCAUUCUUCAGGCAGAAUGUAUUUCCCUUUGAUUGUAAGUUCAUGGUCUUUCCUGAGAAAAUUCCAACUGUGUCUGAUGGGGAGUCUGGAGAAUACCACUGCUGGAAUUGGUGUCUUUCAGAGGCUGGCAGAGGAAGGAGCAACAGCAUGGAUUGUGUGCAGCAGGUGUUUUUAUUAACACAUGCAUUAUCACUUUUAUUUGUCACUUCAUGGAGUCAAGUGACCUUUCCCAGGGCACAUGGGCAGACUUUUCCCAGUGGCUGUUCCUGGGCUUCAGAGUACACCCAGGGGAAAAUUAUCUGUUAGUUACUUUCUCCCUCUUCUUGACACCUUCUGAGUUCCAACGAGUCAGAAGAUAAUCAUAAUCAGAAUAACAUCUCAAAAGAGAAGCUAAUUGCAGUUUUUUCUUAGUUGCAAAAGAAAUACAUGGUCACUGUAGAAAUCAUGAAACACACAGCACAAA